GGAGAGGACAAAAGAAAAGAGAGGUUGAAGAGAGACCAAACGGCUGGAAAUGGUUGACCCAUUCAGCUCUUUAUGUGCUCAAUAGUACAGCUAGAAUGACCCUAAAUAAAGGGGAAAAAGAAAGAAAGGGAAAAAAAAAUUAAAAUCCCAUUCAUAAGUAACCAGGUGACAAUAUGGAUGAUUGCAUGCAUUUCUGUUCUUCACAUUCAAGCAAGCAAGAUGAGAAAAUGAAAGGACAUAGCAAGAGUAUAAAUCCUGAAACAGCAAUUAGAAGUACAUUAAUUGUGAAUGUUUAAUAAGUUUUAUUAUCAUUGUAACCUAACCUCAAAAAUCAAGCAUGUACUGGUAGCUUGAUAACCAGUUAAAUGACUAAUCUUAUCAAUCUAUAUAAACAACAGUAUGAAACUAUGAAUUAAUGCUAAUGGUCAAGGUUUAAAGAUCCGUUUAGGACUAGUCCAUCCUACCCAUCCCGGAUUAGACCAAAAUCAUAGACCAUGUCCUAGAAUGAGUCUGGGACCCCAAUACCAAUAAAAUCAGGUCAUCCCCGUUGGCAUCAAUCUACAUAGUUACAAUAUUUAGACUUUAGAGAAUAUCUGAAAAAUUCAUGAAUUAUUCAUGACUAGCUGUUUGGCCAAAUCAUUGAGCGAAAAACUUGUUAAUUCGAGAAUGGAUCAUGAAAAAUUCAUUAAGUUUGCAAAAAUCACAAAUAGCUCUCCAACCAUUUUUCUCAAUCUCCAUCUCGGUACACCUCGAUACGAACUAGUACGCACCUCGGUACGGAUUGGUACGUAUCGGUACGUCUCGAUACGGACGGUACUCAUACCGAUUUUCUGCUAGUACGUAUGCCCCGUACCAAGCAGUACAGGGCGGUAUAGCAGACUAUGGUCACAUGCAUGGUGACGUGGGUUGUAAAGGACCUGACAAGUCAAAAAAAUAUCGAAGUUUCUUAUUUUGGAUUCCAACAAGGAAAGCAGAGGGAUGAUCCCUAUUUCUCUCUCUUGUUCUCUUUUCUUUUCUCCUAUUCUCUUUCUGCUCCACUCCAUGUUUGUAUUUUUCUAAGCCUCCAAGAUAAUGACUAACAGGUUGGAGCAAGGUCCGCAAUCUCGGUAUCUUAGCGGUACAGUACGGUACAGCUUUGUACCAAAAUAACUCGCUAAUAAUUUUCUCAAUUUUUUCUCAAUACGCCUCGAUAUGGACAGCUACAUACCUCGAUACGACUCGAUACGAAGCUUGUACCAACUUGAAGGUAUGUUUCAUACUGGUUUUCUCUCGAUACGGUACGGUAUGCCCCGUACCAAGUGGAACGACAGACCAUGGGCUGGAGGCUUCCUCAAAGAAGCAAGCUAAUUGCCUUUACACCAAACUCCUAUUGUAAACUUAGAAAUUAGAAUAAAUUUUAUAUAUAUGUAUGCAUGCGUGCAUGCUUGUGCAUGUGUGCGUGCAUUCAUGUGUGUGUGUGUGUAUGUAUAUAUGGAUACAUAUAUAUACAUAAACAUACACAUAACUAUAUAAAUAUAGACGUAUAAACAUAUAUACACAUAUAAAUAUAAGUUCACAAACAUUUAUUGUUUUAGAUAUUUUAAACAUUUCUAUUUUCCAAACAUAUUGGAUUUUUCUAAAUUUUGAACUUCUCAAACUUACGGAAUUCUUCCUAGGCAUAUAUAAUGGGUCAAUGAUCAAAACCGGCCAAUACUAGGGCCACAUGGGCGUUUCCGUUGUGUGCUUCAGCCCCUAGUUUGAAGGCCCAAGGAGAUAGCUUGGACUAGCAUGUCUUCUAAAUAUAAGACAACAUAACAAUAGAAAAGAGAGAGAAGAAGAGGAGAGAGAGCUCGGAUCAUGGCCAUCACAAACCUAAUACCCCAUCACUGUCAGUACUGAUCAUGGUUUUAAAUAUCAUGGGAUAGGGUUGUCCCUUUUUUCUGUGGAAUGGGAUGCGUUGAAUCUCGACACUUGGAUGAUGGAUGUCCCUUCUUGUCUAAUCUAUUUCUGGACUCGUUCUGUCUUGGUACUCAGGAAGGGGUGCCCUAUCCCGACACCCAGGACAGUGGGAUGCCCUUAAUUCCCCACUAGUUUUUAAAACCUUGGUAGCAAUAACACACUGUAACCCUAAUGAUCAGCACAAAAACCUACCCUAAUCCUUAAUUAUGACAAAAUUACCCUAGAAAUCCUCUAAACAAAAAUUAAAAACAACAAAAAACAAAAUAAAAAAGGAAAGAAAAAAGGAAUUGGUAUCUAGAGAAUAAUUAGGCCGCCACCAAUCCCAAGUAUGGUCUGCCGUACCAGUCGGUACGGACCGAUACCGGCCGAUACAUACCGGUACCGGACCCUACCGGUACGGUACAGCUACAUAUUUCGGUACCGAACCGUACCGACCGGUACCGACCGUACCGACUCGGUACCGGCCCGUACCGAACCGAUACCGGCCCGAACCAACCAGUCCGUACCGGCUGCAAUUUUUUUUGGCUUUUAGCCCCAUCGGUACAGUACUGGUUCGGCUCGGUUUGGUUCGGUACCGUAUCAGUACCGAUGCCCACCGGUACGUCGGUACAGUCGGUACCGCGUACCUUGAUCCCAAGUGUUAGGAAGAUAUCAUCCCAACCUUGUCCAUAAUUCGUACCUAGUCUAGAGGGUGCCGACUAGUGCAACUGGUAAAUUUAUUGCGGUCAGCACCAAUAAUAUAAGUUCCAAUCCCUACCUUACCCGAUUUUUGGUUAGGCUUCCUCUCGUCCUAAUUCUGAAAAAAAAAGAAGAAAAGAAAACAAGCAAAUGAUACCGGGUCUAGGACCCUGGAUUUAAAACCUUGCUAGUGAAGGUGCCUACAGAAGAUGCAUUAAAAUGCCCUUUAAAAGAUAAGCAAGAAGAAAGCAUUUGUAAAACAGCAGUCAUGAGCAUCUAGUCUGUAAGUAAUCAUGUUCUAUUAAUAACCUUUCAGUAAAAACAUUGUUAUUAAAUCCUUAAAAGAGAAAAUAAUAAAGAAAGUAAUAUGAAAAUAACAAAGAAAUUAAUAACUGCAGAUACACAACUAUACUUAUUGAGAUAGACAUUUAGAUGGAUGUAUUUAAGUUUCACAGAAAGUAGUGUGUUGUGUUAUUAACAAAUUCUAAACAAGCUAGCUUUCGAGGAUGCACAAAAUUAAACUUCAAAUAAAGCAGUAAAACAUUACCUUAUCUAAGUAUAAACCAAUAGCACAAUACAAAACCAUGUCAAGCAUCAUCAUUGAGAGGCAGACCAAAAAAUUGACUCCAGAGGAAGCCUGCAGUUUUUCAUUCACGGGAUCUGAAUCUGAAUAUGGAAGUUUUGAAUCUUGAGAUGAUUUCACUAUUCAGAUAAGUAAUUACCUGCCAGAUAUUGGUCCACCGAACUCCAACAUGAGCACGUUCGUAAUCAGCAAAGUUUACCGUCCCAAGGGCAAAUGCUGUAGGUGAAAGCAAAGAGGCCAAGAUCUUCCAUAUCCUAGCAGUCCAAGCGCAUUAAUGUAUUUGCAUUAGAAAAGAAUUCUAGCAGAGAUAAUUGAAGACAGAAUGUAGCAGCAAUACUAACAUAGGGACAGCAGGAUCAUUGACCGAGUAAUAAGGAAAGAAGGCUCCCAGAAAAGAAAGGGUGCCGACUGCCACAGCUGUCUUUGCACGAGAAAAAAAUGUGGAGAUCAAAAAGGAAAGCGUGACCGCACUUAAACCAAAAAAGAAGAAGUAGACGAAGACCAGUGAUUUAUCACUAUAUAUAAAAAGACUGCUCAUCGUGCAUAUUGUAAUGAUUGCUGAAGAAAUUGCAAACUGCAUGAAAAACCAGAAUAAGUUUAGUGAGAAACACUGCUUGAAACUAAAAGAAGCAGAAUUGAUAAAAAAAAAAGCAUGCCGGUCAUAAAUUCAUAAUAAUAUCCUUAUAUCCUAUAUAAAUAUUAUAGGAUAAUUGUUUUUUAUGUAAGAAAAGCAAAAAAAGGAAGAUGAGAACAGGAUAAUGGAACAAAGUCAAAGAAAGACCAAGGAUACAGUACUCUACAUGAUCAGAGGAAAAAAGUUGCUUUAGAUAAGAAUCAUGUGCACAUAAAAUCACCAGUAUAUGUAAAAAGAAAUCAACAACCAUGACCAUCUAAUCUAAAUAAAUCAGCAAAGCUAAAAACACCUCACAGAACACAAAAUUCCUUUUAUACGUUUCAGAGUUGCUGUAUCACUGAGAAGAAAACGCCAUGGUUGCUGGUGGAUGUAGUCCAGACGCUUUGGCUUCUCCUAAUAUUUAUUUUUUCUUCCAAAAAGAAAAGUAAUUUGUACAUAUGGAAGAAACUCUAAAGAUGGGAAUCAUUCAAUUAACUAUAUAUUCUUGCCAACCUAUCACCCAAAGGGUACGAUGGUGUAACUAGCUAUCACAGGAACCAAGUCUCUUUGUGCAAAAUGAAUAUUAAAUUUAGUUAAACUCUUUAAAAAUGAAAGCAGCUACCUAUGCCAUAAAUAUUGAGAUAACAGAACCACAUAUGAUGAAGAUCAGCAAGAAUGUAGCACUUGAUAGCAAUGACUGGAGAAAAGGAAUUCAUAAAGCUAAACCAAAAUGAUCAAAAAAGGCUUGUUGGGUACAUCUGGGUUUCUCUACAGGUAGAACUACAGUUUCACAGGUAUGAGGCACAUUUAAUAUUUCACAGGGCAUAAAGAGAUAAAUAAGCAAAUUUAUCGCAUAUCCAUGUGAACAAAUAAGUAUGUUGCUACAGUUAAAUAAUUAAGAUAAAUCAAAUACUUCUCAGGUAUGCAGUAGUUGCCUGUAAGGAAUAUGUGAUCAACCAGGAAAGGUAAAAUAUCUCAUCUUUAAGACCCAUCAUGUGCAGGCCUUCUUUAAUCUUCUGCUCCUGAAACAGAGAAGUAACAAUGCAAUUAUUUCCAAAUAAAGGGAACAAAAAAAUAUAUCAAAUUAGAGCAACAAAUUAUUCAAACUCAUGUUCAUAUUCAUACCUUCUCAAAAACAGAAUAGCUGAUUAGACGAGAAAUUGGAUAGAGAAAUCCCAAGAGAUAUCUGCCCAUUGCCAAGGAGGGUAAAAAUUCAAAAAAAUGAAAAUAACAGAGGAAGCUUACCGAUUGCUAUUCAUAAAAUGAUUAAAAUAAUUUUUGGCAACCUACAAAAGAUGACCCCCUAUACAACUACCAGUAAAUUUUCUCAUACUUAAGACUAUAGAUAGACCCUUGAUUAGAUAUUAAAAUCACUUAGAAGAAUAGUGACCCGCAUAUUUGAUCUCUUAAACAAAAUCCUCCAAAGGAAUGCAGCAGAAUAUGGCAAUUAGAAAAUAAAAAUUAAAAAGAUAAGAUUAAAGAAGAAAAUCUGAGAUUACAUGAGAUAGCAAGGAGAAACAAUAUGUCUUGGAUGAUUAUUCUUGUAGCACUCCUUUUAUUUUAUCAAAACCUCUGACAGCCUGCUAUCUACGAUAAAUCAGCAGAUAAGGGAGGUGGUAGGCAUAGGAUUCAAACAACUGCAUAUGAACUCUUAUCAGUCUUAUGUCUCUUAUUUUCUUUAAUUCCCAUACCGAAUAAUUCUCAUAGUUACCUGAUCGACAAAGAUUCAAAGAGAGGUUCACCCAGACAAUCUAUCUCAGUCAGAUGUCCCCAAUCUAUGAUCUUUCAUAAGCUAGCAAUCCCAUAGCUCGGAUGCUGCCUAAGUGGUAGUCACUUCUAUGGAGAACAAUUAUGUUUUGGGACUUUAUUGGAGCCACACUACAAAGAAAAAAUACGAGACAAUGACUAAAUGAUUAUAGAACCAGCACACACUAAAGGUUUGAAUUUAAGGUUAAAUCUUCAAUAAUUCUCAUCAAAUUGGAGAGCACAGGAGAUGACAGCAUGAUUUGCAACAACACCUAUCAGUUGAUCCUCCAACUAGAUUCACAGAGUGACCACUUCACUUAAAACAUGCUCUCAAAUGAAAUAUCAUAUAUGUUUUUUCUUCCUUUUGUCCAGAAUACUAGCUGUUCAUCUAGCUUCCAUGUCGCAGAGUGUUAUUCAGUUAGACCUUUGAUCAAACUUUGAACCCAGAAAAAACUGCCCUAGUAACAUUAGUGCAUGUAACAUAAGAGACAUGAGCAAGGGCAUAUUCAGUUGCUACAGCUAAUCCCAAACUAUACUCAGCUUCUUAGUUCUCUGGGCCACAAGCUUUCCAACAACAAAAGGCAGAGAAGUUUAUCGAUGACUUUCUAUCCACUAGUAAACGCACCUGACUGAGCCUCAGCAGCAGAUUACAAUUUUGAACUAUAUAAUCAACAUGACUUCUAAUUCCAUCAAGCAAACUCCCUAAAAAACCUUUUCAAGAAGGAUUCAUGAGACUGUUUAGAAUUGUAAUGAAAUUACCCACGUAUCUCUUUUUCCUCCGGAGCAAAAAAUCAAGAGGUUGUUGCAUAUUAACUUUCUAAAAUAGAACUUAGGAAAAAGCGAAACACUCGCCACAUCACACCAUUACAGUUUCUAAUUUAAACUAACAAUUACAGAAAAAUCACUUUCAGGGAAUGAUGCUUUGCAGCCAAAAAAAAAAACAAGAAGUCUCAAAAUAAUCUACUCAUACAGGUCCAGGCACACUCUUCAGCAACAAGCACUAUUUCAACCUUUCCAUUGUUCCACCAAGCUAACAGUCAACAACCUAGAUCAAUCCAACCUUGACAGCAGUUUGCAUGUUUCCUCGAGGAAGGGAAACUAGCUCAUUUGUAUCAAUAUCAUAGAGUUUUACCUUUUCCUGCAUAGAUUUUACUAGCCUUGAUAAGCCUUGACUAACAACAAGUAUUUGUUAGUAGACAUUCAAUAGUGAAGAAGUAAAUGCAUAAAAGAAUCAAUAUGAACCAAAUGAGAAGGAAGACUGUCUCUCUUUUGACCUAUAGAGACUGGAGAUGUUAAAUCACCAGACACUAGAGUUGACCACAUAGGAUAGUGAAUAAAUUGUUGGUUCACACUUCACACCACUAGGUAUGCCUAAACAAGUAUCAUUAAUCUUCAUUUGCUGUUUACAAUUCAAAGUGUGAUGCUGGAAUUGAUAUUUCUAGAUAAAAGGAUGUCUCUAACUUUUCAGAAAUUCAAGAAAUUUCUAAUUUGACACUUGCAUGGUUUUCCUCAAAAGACAAUCACACGGUUCCUUGAUUUCUUCAUACCUUCAUCCCUUCCGGUUAGGCAAAAGGUUAGUUUUCCCCUUAUGGCUGGAGCUACCUCCAAAUCACCAUAUUUGCUCCAUGUCUUUAAAACUUCUAAACAAAGAUUGCCAAACUAUGCCGAACUAGCCGGUUCGGGGCGUACCAAACCGGACCGGUCGGUUACCAGCACGGUUCGUCUGGCCGGUCCAAUAUAGAGCUCGUCUUUUUUUUAAAGCCUCCCCGCUUGAAGAAGGACAUGUCAAUCGUGUCGCAAGGCUUCAAAAAAGGAAGCCUCCAUCUGAUGUAGCAGAGCUCCAUCCCUGAAACCCUAAUCGACAAAUCCCAGGGGAGUCAACCCUCUCCCUCUCUCUCCCUCGAUCCCCAUUGCUGGGGCUUUGAGCGUCUCUCCCUCCCUCUCUCUUCCCUCUCUCCCUUGAUCCCCAUCGCCGAAUCCGNNNNNNNNNNNNNNNNNNNNNNNNNNNNNNNNNNNNNCUCUCUCCCCCUCUCUCCCCAUCCCUUCCUCACUCCCUCCAUCUCCCUCUUCCUCUUCCUCUCUCUCCUUCUCCCUCUCCCCCUCCCUCUCCUGUUUUCAGUACGCCUUGGAAUGACAUGGUAUGGACCUGUACCAUACCGUGUCAAUUGCCUACCGGUACGACCUCUGGUAUCAGUUUGAUGAAUUUUACUUUUAAAAAACCCUUAGAUCAUUUUCUUGUCAAAGUCACCCUACUACUUCAUGCAACUCUAUGAAAAAAAAUUCCUUGAACAUAGCCGAAGAAAUUGAAUUCAAUUCACCAACUGAAAUGAAGGAUAACCAAAAUGCCCCAACCUUUGACUCUAAGAUAGCUGAGACAAAGGAAGGAUGGAAAAGCGUGCCUGCCAACUCUAUAGUAUGCAUUGUACCAAAUUAUCAAUAUUUUAGAAAUUUUACACAAAGUAUGUGGAAAGCUAUCAGAUAUCUUCGGGCUUCUAGUGGGAAAUAGGAGUUUUUUCUUGAAUUUGGCCAAUAAGAUUCCUGUCGCACCCAACUUUGGGGUUUGGGAAGGGAGAGGCAAGAGUAUCUAUGAUUUUGACACUCCAUAACUGCAUGAAGGGCAUGAGACUCAUGUUUGACCUUGUCAUUCCAAAUAUGUCUAGGUUUGCUUACUCCAUUCGAGACUCCAAUUUUUUCAUUCCAUACGCUAUUCAUUAAAAUUAAAAGCUUGACUGCUAAAUUAGUAUCUAUAGAUAAACCUAAAAAAGGGGCAAUCGGGCUGCGGAUUGGGUGGCCGCCUAUGUGGCCAACCAUGCGGGUGGUAUCCUGUGGGCUAAGGAUAGGGAGUUGCCUCGGACACUUCGAGAUAUUCUGUUUUCUGAUUUUAUUGGGUGUAUUCGUACUCGUCAAGUAUGAGUUACCCAUCCUAGCAAAAAAAAAAAGAGGGGCAAAAACUUGGUUUUUCUUGACUACUGUGUGGAGAUUGAUUCUAUGAAUAACAAAGCUUUAGUUUCUUUUUUCUGGAUAGACGACGAUACUUGCUAGACAAACUGUACAGUACAAGUGCAUUCUCCCAUGUUCCCUAAAUGAAUUUGAGUUACUACUUUCUUCGAAGCUUAUCAAAUUCCUCUUAAGGUUUCAAAAAGCACUGCAUAGUAACUAAUAUGCAAAUAUACACAGUUACUUAAGCAAUUCAUGACCCUUUCCCUUUUAUGAUGUCAUUCUCCAAGCUUGACAUUAAAUUCAUUAAGAGUAGAAGAAAUAACAUAUAUCUUCUUUCAUGCAAUAUAAGGUACCAUACCUUCUAUUACUAAUGCAAAUCAUGCUAAAAAAUAAAUUUUUACAAGGUCAAUCGGCUUUCUAAUAAUCAACAAUUGACGGACAAUUUAUAUCACAAGAGAAAAUAAGAACAUAAAUUUACAGACAUUUGUAGGUAUUUGCAUGCCACAAUUUACACAAAUAUGCACCAAUAGCAACAACUUAUUUGCUACUCUAGUCUUAUACAAAAAACUUUCCAAGCUCAAGGCUAGCACCUAACAAUGAGGUUCAUCGUACCUAUGCAUACCGCUCCGUACUGGGCGCACUACACCGUACUGAUACCAAACCGAGAUUUAGUACAGUAUGUCGAACCAGCCCUAGUACCGCGCAUACUGCCACUAUACCAGCAUGGUACUAGUAUAGGGUCCGAUAACAAGACACUGAACCUUGGCAGACAUGAUCCUCAUUAUCUUCAGCUCGAUAAGCAAAUUGUCCACAACUACUUAACUAGCAUUUCUAAGAACAUCACCAUAUAUAACAAGGGUUUUCUAGUGCACGAGGCUUUCACCACUAUGGGAUAUGGGGAGAGUCAAACGUAUGCAGCCUUACCCCAUGUGUGGAGAGGCAGUGUCUGUGUUUUAAACUCAUGGCACCAGGAUCACGAUGGAGUACCCUUACCUUUAUACCAAGGCCCACCCUCUCUAAGAAAAGUAUAGUAUAUAUUUUUGAAAAUUUUCUGGCUUCUGUCAUGAAGAUUAGGACGCGAACCAAGAUUUGAAAAGUCAAUUUGAUUUCAAUUUUGGGCCUGGUUUUGUUGAGUUUCAGUUUCAAUAGUUUUGGUGGUCUUCAAUGUUUAUCUCCAAGCUUUGCAAUUUCAGUAAUACUGAUAGAAAAAUAAAAAUGCCAAAUAAAAGUUAUUAAAUAAAAGCUUAGACUUUAGGGUAUUUUCUAUUAUAUGGGUUUUUUUAUUGGUGCAGUUUCAUUAUAGACUGAAGUUAACAAUACAUGAAAUACAUUAUCUAUAUCAGUAUUUUGUACAAAGAACAUAUUUUUCUUCAUUUUUUUCAUAGGACUUAUAGAUACUAUAAAAUAUUAUAAUAAUAUAAUAUGACAAAAUGCAUAUAGUUAUAAAAAAUUGUAUAUAUUCUAUAUAAAAAAGAUGUUAUUCCUAUGAAAUGUGUGUACUAGGAUGUUCACUUUAUCUUUGUAAACUACAGUGCUAGGGCCUUUUUGGAGGCCUUGACCCAUCAAGGAUUGUGUUAACAUCAAUCCCCUCUUUGAACUCUUAAAAAAAAAGAUAAAUCAUUGAAAAGUGAUACUACAUAGGUUAUGCAUUUAAUAAAGAAAGAGAUGACCCUGAUAAUAGUAAACACUAAAAUAAAACUUAAAAAAAGACUAGUUCGCUGGUUCAGCCAGUCUCACUUGGAAUUGAUCAGAACAUUUGAAACUAGACCGAAAUCAGAUAAUGACGACCAUAAUUGAUUGAAACUGUUCAAACCCAAAAAUAGAGGUCGAUUUCAAAUCAGUCCAGCCAAAACCAAUCUAUUUUGGUCCAUUCCAGCCAGAAUGGAAUGAUUUAGACCAAAACUCAAAACCUUGCAAACAUGAUAUCUACAAGACACCAUAAAUGCACCACAGGAGACAAACCAAAAGAUCUCCAAGCAGAUUUUAGGUAGGAUUUCAAAAGGGUGGGAAUAGAAAAGGAAUAUCCCAAUUAAGCAUGCUCUUCUUACCAAAUUGAUCUCCAGAACAAAAUGGAUAAGCCCUAGAUUACAUCCCGAAAACAUUAAUGAGAUAGCAACCUGUAGAUUAGAUCUCCUGAGAGCAUGGUACUAAUACAUACUGCCCCAUACCUAGCAUACCGUACCAUAUGGGUACCGAACCGAGAAACCAACCCUCGUACCAGGCAUACCAACACUAUACCAUCAUCGUACCAGUAGGGGGUCCAAUACCAAGAUGGUGAACCAUGCCAGAGAGGAAAAACUUUUUUAGAGAUGUGGGAAAACAAAAAAUCCUAUAAGUAUCAAGAUUUAUACAAUUUAUUUGAGGCCAAUUUCAUGAAUUUUUUCCAACCAUUUAAAGCUACCUCAGCACCUCUGCUAUCAAUAAGAGCUUUUCCAAAUCCUCUCUCCCAAUCACCAUUCACAUAACCUUAGGUCUUCUCAUUUCUCAUAGCUCUUUAGACAAAUUCGAAAACAUGUUCUAUUAAUGUCUUCUGAGGUCAUCACUGGACAUGCCCAUACCCUCUCAAUUGAUAGUCCAUCAUGUAUACUAAUUUGGUGCAAGUCCUACUUCUCUAAUGUAGAAAAAAUGUAUGAAACCAAAGGAAGUAGAUAAGGAAAAGAUGAAGACAGAUGAAUAAAACAGAAAGAAUGAAAAAGGCAAGGAUGAAGAAAAAUACUUAAAGAAGAUGGGGGAACUUGACACCCAGUGAUUUGUUGAACUGCCAUUUUGAUUAGUCCUUACACAGUUGGACCGUUUUCAGACACAGUUAUACAUUUUUCAAUACAUAAUUAUUUGUUUUAUGCAUAUUUAUGCACAACCAGAGAUUAGAAAUAAAAUGGACAUCAAAAGCAAGGACCAGGAAUAACUUCUUCAGUUAACAGGAAUUAAACAUAAUAUGACAGUCAAUCAGGGUCAGACCUCAAUAUACCUGAGAGUAAGAUGAAUAAAAUGAUUAGAAUGAUCAGUAGAUAUUGCUCCUCUUUGAUUAGACAGUGUAACGACUUGUGAUAACCAAAAAUUAGAAUGUCCCUCCCAAGGUUCGCCGUCUCGGUACCGGACCCCGUACUGGUGCCACACUAGCACAGUAUCAAUAUGGUAUAGUACGAAGUAUUUUUGGCGUACCGAGUGUUGGUACACCACCCGUAUCAGAUACCGGUACCGAACCAAUAUGGUAUAGUAUGCUCCGUACCGCUCGGUUCAGGCCGGUAUAGCAUGCCAUGGUCCCUCCUAAGUAGCUUGGUCACUUAUUGGUAUUUUACAUAUUUUGCAUCUUAUAUGUGAUGCCAAUUACAAUGAAAAAAUAGUGAAAAGGCCCAAUAUGUUAAUACAUAUAGCAGACACCAACAAAUAUGUAAGCAUAUAACUUCAAAAAAAAAGAAAAAAGAAAAACCCCAAGCUUAAACGUAAAUUAGGCACCAAUAGUAUGACUAUGACACCAAACUAACUCAAAUCAAUGUUCUUACAACAAUAACGAUGACAGCAUACGGGUUAGGACAUAAGGAAAAAUUUAAAUCAGUUUAAACUAUUUUUAUGCAGUCUUUAUUUUUGAGAUGUAAUGAUCUGCAGGACGAAUGAACGGUUCUUUUAAGGAAAAUAUAACAAAAGAGAUAAUACAAAACUCAAGUAGGAAUGUAACUAUACUCACAAUACCCCCAUUACACUCUUUACAAUUGACUGGAACUCAUCAUCUGUGUAUUCACGAGUUGGAAAUGGAGCAAUACUAAUGUUUGCUGGACUGUACUGUGUCCAUGGAAGGUUGAUAUGAGAAUGAAUGCCAUAUGGGUGGAACAACGGCAGUGCUCUAUUCUCAGGGGUAGUAUGAGUUCCAUUUUGCUGUGCAAGAAGUAUUACUAAUGAAUCCACUACCUUCUGCAACUGCAAGAACAAAGUAAAAAAAGAUUAAUUUUGUAAGAAAAAAAUGAAGCACCACAUAUAACAAAAGUAUCCAAUCGUAACCAGCCCCCUCCACCGCACCCCACCCCCCCCCCAACGUUUCAUGGCUGACUUGUGGCCCCUAGCCAGGUUUCAUUUGACAUGUUUUAUGUUUUCUAUUUCUCAACAAGUUCUGAUUUUAUCACUUGUUUGCCAUGUUUGUGCCUAUUUCGUCAUCAGAAGGAGAACAGGAGUUAGAAUGAAGCCAAAACAGAACUUGGGGCCAAAACAGAACUUGAUUUUAUCCACCCCCCCCCCCCCCAAACAGCCGGAAAAGAAAAACAUGCAAAGUAGCAUAAUUUAUUCAUAAGGCAAAUAUAGAGAAUUUAAUUAUUCAUAGCUUAGAAAGCAGCUUUCUGAAUCACUUGAUAUGUAGCAUUUUUAAAGCCAAAGAAAUCUUCAGAGGACCAGCAAUCAAAAGGAAUGUGAAAGUGAUAAUAAAAUAGAAAAGCCACAACAAGGCACAAAUCUCCAAACAAUAUAAUCUACAAGUUACAAAAAUCAGUUAUCCUGACGCAAGAUGGAGAAGCUAAAAGGGAGAGGAGAAGAACUCAUACAGUCAGAAAUCCGCUAAAUCCAUACUGAUGAGUUGGUACAAUAUUGACACCUAACUCCAAGUCAUCAAGAUACGGUCCAUUUACAUCCAUGAUAGUUUUAACAUCAGGAAAACCUGAGAAAGCCCAUGUGUGGUUAAGACGUAUGCUAUAGUCAAAUAUUUGAGGACCUUGUGUAUGAAAUACUACUGCUCCUUUGAUCAUGGGGUACGAAAAGUUCCUGAACAGAGAAAGAUGAUUGUCAGAAUCUAUGAAACUAAGUAAUAAAAAUAUCGACUUUCCAAAAAAAGUACUGCAUUCUUUAAGCUGAAAACAUGUAAAAAAAUAUAAAAUCUGAAAAUAUUAGACAAGUCCACAUGAAAUAUGAAGGACCAACCGGCUUGGGAAAAUAGCUCAUAUUUAAUUCCGAAAAAAUGAGAGGGAUUGAUGAAUUUUCAAUGAUAAUCAUAUUUUAAAUAUAAUAACAUAGAUAAGCUUUCAUGCCCAAAUUUUGUUAUUGUAGACAAGUCCAGAACUCCAGAUAUUUAGGUCCAGACCAUGUACACUUCUAUUUUAAAUUUAAUUCAACUCAGUUUCAGUUGGUUUAAUCUAAUUUUUGUGAUAACUAAAUUGAUGAAUGGCAUGCUUCCAAUGCUCUGUAUCAGCUAAUCCCUCUUACCGACCUCCAAAACUUUAGACUAGCAAAUUAUCCAACCUUUAGAUAUCAUUCUAAAUAUGCAUAGGACACAUAACAGGAUCUGAAAAUCUAUCAAGUCUCAAAUGAUGCAGUCCAGAAGGCCAUGUUCCCACAUGUAGGAUCUGGAAGCUGCAUGGGGAGUUCACUUGACCAAACAACACACUUGAUCACAGAAGCAAGUUUAAAAUUCAUGAUCAGAAGAUAUUAUGGUCUGGAAAAACUAUUAGGAUAGAGAUAUAAUGCAAUAAGAAGCAUUGGAAAACAACCAAUUAUUGAAUUAUUGAAAAUCUAAAGAAAACCAUAAAACCAAAUAAUAGUGCAACAAAAAAGGCACAAUAUCCAGCAGGAAGAUGAUCUGAAAAGAGAAAACAGGUUGUAAUAGAGACGGGAGGAAAUAUCAGAGAAUAGUCUGGUCAUAUAUCAGCAGAAUUUCACAGGAGGAGCAAAAACCAUUAAAGCUCCAUGAUGGUGAUUUUAGAUCCUUCCAUACUUAAACAAGAGGCCCCCGGAUCUAAUUUUAUCCAGGAAAAAGGAAAAUUAUAGUAUUAACAAACAUAAUACUAAAUCCUGAAGAUUCCAUUAGAUCAUUAGAACUGUUGAGAGACAGAUGACUGGAACAUUGAUUAAAGCUUUCUCGGAAGAUAAAGCCAAUGAUCUUUGCUAAUUCUGCAUACUUCUUAUCAUGUCAUUUGCAACAGGUUAAAGAAUUCCAGCAAUGGCCCUGUAGCAUAUAGCAGAAAGGGAACAAGUUUGUCAAGUUUUCUUGGAAGAUUAAAUCCACAGUUCAUGCUGAUUCCAGUAAAAUUCUUAUCGCAUGGCUGGCAACAGUUCAAAACUUUAUAGCAAUGGUCCGAAGAUUAAAUUUCCAGCAAAGCAGAGGUCAUUAAGGAUCCAAUUUUAUGAUUGCCAUCAAGAACACAGGAGUGAGUAUCACUAGACCAGACUUAAUGAAGUCAUGGAAGUUUGAACCACAAUUUGCAUUACUUAUCAACUGAGAUUAAAACAGGUGUUGGAGUGAAUGCAAGUGCAAUACUUCACUAGUAGAUAGAAGUACCCACAUAUGCAUGCACGGACGCACAUAUGCAUGCUUGCAUGCAUAUACACAGGUACGAGCAAAUAUACACACUGGCGAACACAUGCACCCUGCACACAACCAUGCCCACUUCCACACCAACAGACACAUCAAUGCAUGCACAGAUGUCACAGCCAUUAUAUAUCAUAUAUAACUUGCCAAACCUUUUUAAGAAUCUGGCUUCAGCUUAUCAAAUAUCACAAUUCACUGACUAGAUUUUGAGAAUUGUUAUUUAGGUUAAAUCAACUGAACAAUCCUAGGGAAUCCAAACUGUAAUUAAGAGCUUCAGUAGUAUUUUGGACAAAAGAUUAAAGUUCACAACAACGAUAACAAGGCAUGUGAAAAGAAACAUAACUUACUUGUCUUGAUCAUUAACGCCAUAAAGAUCUGAGCGUAUGUAAGUUUCUAGGUCUAGCUCAUCUUUGUAAAUUCUCGCGACCAUCUAUUAACAGGCAGAAGAAGACCCAUCAAAAUUAAGUUAUAGUUGCAAUUAGCCCAUAGAAGAGAUUGAAAAAAGCACCACAAAGUACAACUCAAGGCAUGAUUUAACAAAGAAAUUUAUAUUAAACAUAAAUGGUGAUGUUGAAAGUGGAUACCAUAGAAAAACAUGACCAACAUAACUAAGAUAACUAAAGCACAUGGCUUAUAAGUGGGAAUGAAUAGAAUACUAGGAUUCAUAAAACCAACCCUGCAUAGUUGGGACAAGGACAAUUGCAAAGGCUAUGCUUUUUGACAGCUCAUAAACAUAUUUAUUGAAUAAAUUAAAUUAUUAUGAUUUAAAUUUCCACUUUUUAGUUUUUUGUAAACUCUUGAGUCAUCAAUCAUAAGAGAUUAUCUACUCUUGCCGAUCCUUAAUUAUUUUAUAUGGUUCUUUUGCUUUAGAAUGUCCCUGUUGAUGCCCUUUUGAUGCAACUCUAAAGACUGCCCUCAUGUGCUUAAGAGGAUGUGUUAAAUCGUAAACUUUGGGAUGAUCUUAUUUUCUCAUACUUUCAUUUUUUGCUUGCAACCAGUCAUUUAUUUAAAGAGCCACAGUCAUAUAGUGAGGUGACUCGGCAUCCACGAUGGCAGACAAACAAAAACGAAUACCAUGCACCUUCAAAGACCCACAGAUCUCAUGAUAAAGAUUUAAGAUGAAACCAAGUGAACAUACAAGGUCAAGACUCAAGACUGACUUGGAUGGUUAUGCUCUACAGGAGUUUUAUUUUCAUCAUGGUUCUAAUGAGAAGUAUGGAAUUGACAACUCUAGAAAAGAUCAGAGACCAGAAUUUGGGAUCACCAAUGUGCAGAGUCAAUCUCUUUAUUAAAUGAACACGAAGAAUGCACUUUUACCACCAAAGUUUGAAACUCGUGUAUGAAUCCUGUAUCAUUCAUAUAAGGGUAUGGUAGGAGAUACAAAAAGAUACCCCCAUGUUGAUACAAGUUGAUACAGUGUGUAUCAAGACAGUACAGUAUGGUCAAUAUCAAGCCUUGUUUACCAGCAGUGGCAUCUAAUAGGUCCAUAAUAGAUCAUAGUGUAACAACAUCCCUAACUUCAUGACAUCUAUAAGGUGUUGUUGGGCAUUUACCCUAAAGUAUAACUUGAUGGGACCAUAUCACAAAAGUAAGCCCAAAUUAGUAGCAAAGAAAUAUAGCCAAUUAACAGUAAUCAAUUAUGCAGAGACCUUGCUCCAAAUGAUAGGCACAAAUCUACACAUUCACCUCAUCGCAGUAGUAUAUAAUUCAUUUGCAUCAUACCAUAUCUGAAAAAUGCUUUGAGUGUCAACAAGAAAGCAUACACCAGCAUAGCCUCAGGUGUCAAGGGGGUAAAUUAAGCAAACUGAAAAAAGUUAAAAUUAUUGCAGUCAACUAAAGUGUAGUCUGCUAAUUCGAAGUAAGUAAUGUACAUAUUGUGACAAAAAAACAUCAAUUAUUGUGUUGUAUACGUAGAAGAACAAGAAAAUGAUCAUAGUUUCAACGACCUCCAUAAACAUUCUGCUCACUGGAAAUGAUGACUUGGAGAUUGGAAGUACAAAGGAAUAGCACAAUAAACUCCUUAAUAUUAAGGAUUCAUACACAAAGCAAGAAGUUAGAGGAAGAGAGCAAACAACGCAUUUUGCUUAGGGCAACCAAGGUGGUAAUAACAUAACAGCUAUAGAAAAAUGGUCAGUUUAUAGUGUGAUCCUAUAGACAUGAAGCUGCCUCCACCUUUUCUCUAUAUCAUAAAUUAUCACUUUAAAAGAGUUUCCUAGGAAGGAAAAAAGAACCAUUCUGUAAAAUGUGGUUUCCCACUCACCAAGAAAUCAACAACUUGAUCUGUUGGCAACCCCCCCCCCCCCAACUGAAAAAAAAAAAGUAAUAGUGCACAAAGUGAGAGCCAAUCUCAAUAUAAAUGGUAUAGUCAUGUAGCACCAAGUUGCUGACAAUUUAAACAUUAAUUUAUCAUGGAAGAAAGGUAAAUGCAUCACAAGGGAUUAACGGGCACUAAAGACAAACAAUGCUGAUGGAGGCAUCAGCCAAAGUGUGCUACUCCAUUUAAGCACUCAUUCACGAAACAAUGUCCUUGGUUCUUUAUCCAAUAAUAUAUUUUUCUUCCUAAUUUUUUUUCUUGCCUCUUCCUCCUUCAUUUUCUUCUCCUUUUCUCUCAACUUUUCCUCCUUUCCUUUUCUUUUCCUUCCUUUCCUCCUAAUUCUUCUCUAACUUCUUUCUUUCCUCUUUUUGCAAAUCAUGGUUAUGAUAGUACUAUAACUUAGAGGCAUGUAAGGCUUUUUUGUUAUGCUUGGUGCAUGAUAAACAAAUUUUAUGAUGCAAAACCAUGUAUUUUUUACUAUUUAAUGAACAUUUUUAGUUAUGGAAGCAUAAUUCUUAGCAUUAGCAUCCUUUCAUAUCUAAGCUACUUCCUAGGCAUUUUAGCGGGUCCACCACCUAGCAUUGCCUGGCAAUUUCAUGCCCUUGGCAGCAUUGAAAAGCAAUUGGGCUAAAAUGUGCCGAGGGUGAUAUUGGUUUACCCAGCAUUACCACCUUUGCCUAAAAUUUGCCGUAGGCCUGACAUAAAUGAAGUUCAGCAUAGCCCGUUGUGUUGAGAGCUUAGCUCCAGCAAACUCAGAGCAGCCCAAGUUUGAGUUUUGACUCAAGUUAGUUGAAAGCUCAAAGAGAUGCCAACCAUCUCAAUCUGAAUAAUUGGAAACUCAAAUUAAGAGAAAUCAAAUAAUUGAGCAAACAAAUGAGGUUUCUGAUAUUGAACAUAUACCAAGAAAAAUUUACUAAGAAGCUACUGAAAAUUUCCCAUUGUGUCAUGCAUAUGGCACACCAAUGUGUGUAAUAUAUUAAUAUAUAUAUAGGCAAUACAACAUAUACUCUACUCGAGCCUAAGUGGGGCUGCUGCACUCACAAACUAUUGUCCUAAGCUUGACCAAGAUUCAUGUCAAGCAACAAUUUUCAGGCCUAAGCAUACCUUCUUCCACUGGAUCUGUUCGUUGCAUGUAUAAUUCUGUCUUAUUCAUCACAGAGAUGCCAAAGUCAUGUGGCUGUAUAUUUCACAUAUUCAUCUCCUAGUUUUAAUUAUAUGUCCAUUUUCUCCAAAGUUCUUUCAUAUGACUGAGUGACGCAGCAAAGGAAGAUACAGAUACGCAAAACCUUCAAGCAAAAAAGGGUCUUUUUUGUGAAGCAAAUGGUCGGCAGUACCUUUAGGAGUGGGAACUUUAGGGAUAAUACAUCCAACAUCAAUCUCGUUUCAUUGGUGUCAGGUGCAAAAGCCAAAUGUUCACCUUUGACAACCAUCAAUUUCAAAAUGUCAUCGAAACUCGGAGAAAUCUCGCUGUUUCCCACUUCAACAAACAUGCCCUUUCGAAUAUACCUGGACAGAAGCCCAAUUAAAUGCCUUCAUGCUAAUGCUUACUCAAAAACUUACAUAAGAAAAAAGGUAUAAAGCCAGAAGAGUGAUGGAAAUCCAGAUAUAUCAUACGCUUGUACGGGGUGAAUUUGUGUAUCGACUCCUGACCGAACGCCAACUAGCAUCAACAUCACAAUAGUCGGCAGUAGAAUCUGCACCAAUAGCAAAGAAUUCAAAAAUUCAUACCCUGUUCGUCUGAGAAAACAAAAAAGCAGAUGCAUAAUCCAGCAAGAACCGGAAUUUAUACAAGAAAGGACGAAAAAAGUGAUCUUUUGAGCGAAAUUUUCCGCCAACGCCCAAAAAUAAUGUAUAAAAGUAAUGAAAUUAAAAGAAAGGCGAGAAUUGAAUCCCUCAAAAGAGAGAGGGAUGAAAACCUCGGCACAAGUGGCGACAGGAUGGCGGAUUUUAAGGAGCCAGUUCUUUCGGAGCAUCGCUCUCAGCUGCCGCCGAGAGCUCCCCAUAUCUCUCUCCCCCCUGCAAGAAUCCCUCUUUCUUUGUUCCAAGGAUACAGAAGAGACCACCAAUUACUCGAUAAAACGAAGAGAGAGGGAGAGAGAGAGAAUAUGGAGGAAGCGGAGACUGCGUGGGUGGAGGGGAAAGGAGACGCGAAGAGAGAAGACUUUGGAAAAGAGAGGAGGGCCUGAGGGGUUGCUUUCGAGGAUCAUUUACAUUUGGUAAAGCGGGGAGAGGGAGGGCCCAGCCGCCGCCCGGGUGGGCGGCCGAGUGUGGUGGCCCAAGGUGGUGCUCGGAAGUUGCCAAAAGAAACGGAUGGGGUUACUGGCGCGUAGCGCACUGAUAUUUCUGUGGGCCAGUACAUGGGCUUGACCUGCCCCCACGUCGAGCCUAUAUCAAGCGUUGGAUCGGACUUGUCCUGAGAAAGUUUCCUAGAUAGAUUCUACCAUAGGUUGGUGGCGAUCGCCGUCCGGAUCGAAGUCGUAUCCUUCGCAUAUAUAUCUUAAAAUAGCUAUAACUAGUAAAUAUGGUUACAUAACUACAUAUUAUAUUGAUCCAAAAAUAGCUAUGCAAAAUAUAGUUCAUCUUGUAAAUAUAUCUUAAAAAAGUAUAUACCUACAAAUAAUUAUUUCACAUUGAUUGCAAUGGCAUAGAUGUUCUAGAUCAUGCAUUCAAUAUAAUAAUAGAGAUAUGUGCUGGUAGUUUCUAGUGCUACAAAAUAGAAGGCUAAAAUCACUGUUUUUCAACAUUUCUACGUGCCACCAAAAUCUAUUUGCUUGUAACCAAUACAAAAUUUGUAUUAUUCUUAAAUGUUGACCAGAAUCUUCUACUAACAAUAAAAAAUAUUAGUCAAAAUAUUUUGAAUUUAAGUAGGAUAACCAUUAUAAUAUAAUUUUCGGUAUUUAUAAGUGUUGUACGAUGCAACCAUGGUAUCCUUUUAAAUGUAGGAAAGCCCAAUAGAAGUGUCGCAAAAAAGCCGUAUUUCUAUUGACGUUUUAUGAAAAUGCCGACAUAUAAUUCCUGAGAUAACUUUGACUUGCAUUUAUAUGGCAUUUGAUAGGGAUGUUGGUUUUGAAGUGCCUGGCAUUUUUGUGCCUUCUAUUGGAAAUCUUUGAAUGUUGGCAAAAGCCAUUACUAUUGUAGCAAGCCAUCUCCAAUCCUAAUGCUUCUCUUGCCCCCAAGCAUGGUUCUAAAUGCAACUGUUGCUUCAUUUAGUAAAGUGAAGCAAUGAAUCACCUUCUUAUGUCAAAUGAUAUUUCAAAAUUUAUUUAACCCAUUUUGAUAACCAACUAGAUGUUUCCUUAUUUCAAUCUAUGGAUAAGACUUAGUAGCUGACCUAAAAUGGCAUCAAUGGAUAAGACUCCUAGUUUUACCGCGAUCAUAAAUCGAAAAUCAUGGAAAGGGUGCAAUGAAGAAGAUUUGAAAGUAAAUAUAAUCAUACUCACCAUAUUGUUAUGAAAGAUUUUUUUGUUAGUUGACAUUACUAAAUUAUUUGCUAGCUCUCUAUUUCAUUGCUACAUGAAUCUUCAAUUACCUAUAAUUCAUUUAUCUAUUGCAAAUAAUAAGCAAAUAUUUUGAUAAUAAAUAAGUAAUUAAUUUGGCUUCUUGAUCUAAACUUCCUCUUAGAUCCCUCAAAUUAAAGAUAAGUGGAGAGGAGGCAUUGACACAGGUUGGAAGGUAUAUCACGGGCUUUUGGAACAACACAAUUGAAGGAAAAGCAGUAUGAACUAAUAACCUAAACUAGAAAAGUAAUUAAAAAGAUAAAUUAAAAGAUAUUAAACUAAAUGAUAGAUUAUAACUAAAUUUAUGGCUAGAAAGAUAGCUUGUAGCUUGUGCUGCUACUUAAAAUCUUGCCCAUGCUUGGAAUUCAUAAAGAAUAUUUGAAAAAGGCUACGACCCUCUAGAAUCGACAACUUAUUAAUUCUCGAAAUUCUUUAGAAUUUGCUAUACAAGCCACGCAAAAUCAAUUAUGCAAACCAUUCCAAAAAGAAACAUGAGUUAGCAUAUACUUAAAAGGGACAAAUUUUUAUUGAUUCAAUUAUAAAAUAUAUAAGCGAGGUAUUUAUAAGCCCCGUAGGGCAUGACCAGAAUUCAAAAUUUUAGAAAACCUAAAUAAUCUAGGAUGAAUUCUUUACUAAAUCAUCACAAUAUAUAAAAAUUAUGGGCAAUAAUAUGAGAAACUAAUCAAACAUUAGCUGUUUCUAAAUCUUGUUUUUUUAUGUUCAUAACAAAAUUAAGGACCUAUAAUUUAACGUUAUGUGUCAUCCAAUUGAAUUUACCGGAGAUUAUUAAAACUGCAGAUCACUUUUCGGUAUUUUUUUUAAAAAAUAUUAUGAUAUAUAAGCAUUUAUGAAUUUUAGAGAAUUAAAAAACGAAAAAAAGAAGGAAAAGACCAAUCUACCCAAUCACCGGGGAGCCUUAUCCUCCGCUUCCGCCCUUGCGGUCGGUCCAUUUCCAAUGGCCACCGCCCCCUCCGACCCCUCCAACCCUCCAAACCCCUCCCUAAACCCCCCCAAAUUCACCCAGCACCCGAGAUGGAUAAAACCCACCCCCAGAACCAAACAAGACCGUUCAUGGGAGGAGAACAGGCUAGUCGGCUUCGUCGACUACGACAAGGGCAGGCGCUGCGUCUCCACCGAGGUGAGUGGCGUCGGCAAGGACCGAAUCCCCGCCAGGUACCGCCUCCGCGUCGAGGGCAGCCGGUGGCAGAAGGAUUGGAAGGUCUCCGAGGUCGUCGACCGGGUGCUGAGGCUCGACCACUGGGAGGACAUCGAGGGCGUCCUCAAUUGCUGGGUCGGCCGGUUUGCCAGGAAGAACUUCCCACUUCUUAUCAGAGUAUAUUAUCAUCAUUUUCUUCUCUUUCACUUCCUUGAUCUUUAGCUGUAAUUUUAUCUAAUAAUUCGAGUAGAAGUUAGCUAUAGUGGAUGGAAUAUUAUUGUUGUAAAGUCGAAAGCUAAGUAGUAAGCGAGGGAAAUUGAUGUUGCCGAUCUAAUCUACAGGCUGGUAAAGGUCACAUUGGAAAAAAGAUAAUUUGGUAUCAUAUCAACGACUUUGAGACGGGCAAGCGUGCUUUUUAGACAAUAUAUACAAGAUGUGAGACUCUAUGGUGUUAAAGAGGGCAGGGAUUAAAAUUAGGAUUCAGGUUAAUUACCUGUGAGGAUGAUGGAACAAGAAAGAAACAUGAUACAAGAACUUAAUAUUGGUAAUGCUCGAUAUCUGAACAUGUGUACUGCAGUUAAAAAAAUCUAAUGAACAUAUUAGUAUUGCAUGUUGGAUUAAACAAGUAAAACAAAGAGCUCAAAAGUUGGGUUAUUUGAAAGGUAGAAUAUUUUAAGGGAUUCAACUGAAUAGUAAUAGAUUUUGGAUAGGUUUGGUUUUAGCCAUACACACAGUAACUAGACAUUUAACUGUAUUGCUUCAUGCUGCUGUAUCGCUGCUAUGUGCUAUGUCUUGUAGUGAUGUUGGCAGUGCAGUAAAAAUUUUAUCUCUUGUGAUGGAUACAGAUCUGCACUUUAAGCCUCAGCAUAAUUGCAUAGAAAUAUGAAAGAAAACAGAUUGUCAACACAAUGAUUUUUUAGAUUCUCCAAAAUGUAUAUAUACAAAUUAGGCAACCAGAUUUUUUUUGCAAAUAUGUUGGUUUAAAUUGCUUUUUUUUUUGUGUCAAUGAAUCGGUCCAAUUCUUAUGAAAAUCCGACUUUCAUGGGAAACCCUGAUUUGUUGGUUAGACUCAUAGCAUAUCAUUUUUCCUUUCUUCUUUUGGAGUUGUAUUUCAUUCAUAUAGUGUUUAAUAUAAUAACAGUUACAUGAUAUCUGAAUGCAUUCACUGCACUCAUGUAAAGCAUGUAUCGUCACCACUUAGUGCAAAUGAACUCCUUUUUUUUCGUUUUUGUUUGUCACUUGUAGAAGGAUCGAUUUAGCUGAUUCCAUAGACCUUGUGGAUAUCUGAUGGUGUCUCAUCAAGUCAAGUAACCUAUGGCCAUCAUACUUUUGUUGAUUUGUAUAAAGUAAUGUGAGGCAUGUAUGGUUACAUGAACUUAAUGCACUAAUCCAUUAGGUAGGUCAUCCUGAAUGUAUCAAAUGCUUUUGGUCAGCAUGUGACCUCACAUUCCAUGUAGGCAAAUGUACGUAUAUUACUAAAGGGCAAAUAUACGAAUAAUACUGAAGUGCUUCUUUCUUAUGAGAAUAUGUUCACAAAACAUUCUAUAGAGACCUGAGAAGUUCUUUUUCCUUUUUUGGAUUUUAUUGUAGGAAAUAACAAACACUGGAUCCCUUGACCAUGCUGUUCAUGUGUUUCACUGGAUGAAAAAUCAGAAGAACUAUUGUGCUCGGAAUGACAUAUACAACAUGAUGAUAAGGUUACAUGCGAGAUAUAAUCGAACAGAUCAAGCACGUGGCUUAUUCUUUGAGAUGCAAGAGUGGAGGUAUGGAUAGAAAAAUUCCAACAGUAUUACAAGGUAUUGCUUGUAAUGUUAGAUACUGGCCGGGAUGCAAGCUUUGGAAUAAAGAUCAUUAUGAACCUUUAUAGUUAUAUCAUGGAAUGGUUGGGUUAGACUAAGGGCCUGUUUGGGAAAUUCAGCUAGAUUUCCUACUGGUUUCAUGGAUUGGGCAGCCUAUUUGGAUAUGACCUAUAUCAACGCAACACCCUUGCAGCCCAAAUCCUGUGGCAGGAAGAAAAAGACCUCCAUAUCUUUUUUCUUGCAGAUCAAAGAGCCUAUUGGCUAGAAUUGAGACUAGGACUUAGGCGAGUCUUAGAAGACUGCAGGCUGGGCGGGCCAAUAAGCCCGAUUCGUGCAGGGUAUUCCUGCAGGAUAUCCAAAUAGGCCUUAAGUGGUUUAAUGAUCCUAUAUUUUUCACUGCAUCAAAUUUUUGACUGCUGUUUUAUAAAACUUGAAGACAUGAAGUUUGUACAUGUGAUAGUGGUAUCAUGUUUGGAUCUUGAAUACCAUAUCUGAGAAAUUGAAUUAUAAGUCAUGGAAAGCAAGUCAUUAAUGUUUUGCCAGCCAUACCCUUCAAAGAAAGAAAGAGUAUUGUUAGCCAUCUUUUGGGACUAAUUUUGCUACUAUGUUAAUUUCUAUUUCAGUUUCAUGUGAUACAUACUAUGGAUUUGAGGAGAAACAAUAUGCUUUGUUAAUUUUACUUUUAUUUCUUUUAUUUAAUUUUUCAUCUUUUUUACAGCUUGAAAGCAUUAUAUUCUGAAGACGGAUACAAUAGUGUAUCACUUAAUUUUAUUUUCUAAAUUCUAUUGUGCUAAUUUUGAGAAAAUAAUGCCAUUUCUAUCUUAAUAUUAUUAAUUUAAAUGCGGAUGCCAUCCUUCAUUACAAAAUUGCUGAACUAUGUUUAAUUUUCUCUUGUGUUUUGUUGUGGGUUGGCUCAUAGCAUGCCUUAUUUUCUUAUUAGAUGCAAACCUGAUGUUGAAACUUACAAUGCUCUCAUCAACGCACAUGGGCGAGCUGGUCAGUGGCGGUGGGCUUUGAAUAUAANNNNNNNNNNNNNNNNNNNNNNNNUAUGUAUUGCACUUAUUGGUUUGCACCUGAUAUUUUUGUAGUUAUUUUUAUGUGGAGGUUGUGUUUGAGCUUGUUUGGUCAACUAGCUAUCUGCAGUCUCUUGAUAAAUAAAUAUAUGGUGCGAACCACUGAUUCCAGUCAUGUUCAGAUUUAUGUUUCCUUGGUGUCUUGCUUAUGUCAUUGUUACUUGUUAGGACAAUAAUAUUCAUCCAUAUUACUGCAUGUUCCCUUGUCAUUGGUAUCUAAAUGUUGUUUAAUAGCUGAAUUUAUCAUAACUAAUCAGGGAUUGAAGACCUGGUUCAUACUGUUCCAUACCAAGCACACCAUAUUAGACUGGCAGCAGACUGGUUCACUGUACAGUGUUGGUAUCUGAUUGCUUGCAGAACUGGUCUGUCUCAGUCUGAAAUGCUUAGAACCAACUGGUACAGACCAGCAGCUACCACUUUUGCUUGAUACUGGUCAGUAACAAGUCAAAAGUAGCCCACCUUCUUUUUUCCCUGUUUUGCAUCUGAAUAGGGAGAAGCGAGUGAUGGGAGGAGAAAGAGAGAUAAGGAAGCUUGUGAGAGCUCAGGUCCUGCUGAUGCAACCCAUCUCCUCCCUUUUUGCUUUGCAUAUCACCUAUUAUGUAUAACUCCUCUUCUGCAGACUAGCAGUCCAAUGUUUAGAUAUUGUAAUGAUUAAGAACCUCACUAGUAGGUGCUUUUUUUGAUGUCAAAUGAAUAUGUACACUGUUGUUCAUAUCUUUCAGCUUUUCUGACAAGUUCUACCAUCAAAAUAUAUAUUUCUUUCCCUCUUAUGGAUCUACAAGUUAUGAUACCAUAAUUCUAAGUAUUUUACGUUAAUUCUUUUUGUUGUUUAAUAUUUUCUAAAUCACUGAAACAGAUACCUCCGAGCCGAACUACAUACAAUAAUUUAAUCAGUGCUUGUGGAUCUGGUGGUAACUGGAAAGAGGCUCUUGACAUUUGCAAGACAAUGACAGAAAAUGGUGUUGGACCUGAUUUGGUGACUCACAACAUUGUUUUAUCGGCUUUCAAGAAUGGGGCUCAAUAUUCCAAAGCUCUGGCUUAUUUUGAACUUAUGAAAAAUACAAAUAUAUGCCCCGACACUAUUACUCUUAAUAUUGUUAUACAUUGCCUUGUCAAACUUGGACAAUUUGGAAAAGCUGUGGAUAUGUUCAACACAAUGAGGGGAAAAAGAGCAGAAUGUCCCCCAGAUAUCAUAACAUUUACCAGUGUUAUUCAUGCAUAUUCUGUUUGUGGACAGAUUGAAAAUUGCAAGGCAGUAUUUGACAUGAUGCUUGCUGAAGGACUGAAACCUAAUAUUAUUUCUUAUAAUGCACUUCUUGGUGCUUAUGCUUCACAUGGAAUGCAUGUGGAGGCAUUAACUAUUUUUAAGUUAAUCAAGCGGAACGGACUCCGACCAGAUAUUGUAUCGUAUACCUCUUUACUCAACGCCUAUGGCAGAUCUGGACAGCCUGAGAAGGCCAGAGAGGUCUUUGACAUGAUGAAACGAAACUCAUGCAAGCCAAAUAGAGUGAGUUAUAAUGCAUUAAUUGAUGCUUAUGGAUCUGCGGGAAUGUUGGAGGAAGCUGUAGAAGUGCUGCGCGAGAUGGAAAGGAAUAGUAUUCAACCAGAUAAUGUCUCAAUAAGCACGCUCUUGGCAGCCUGUGGCCGAUGUGGUCAAAUUGUUAAGAUUGACUCUGUACUUUUUGCAGCGAAAUCCCGUGGCAUUAAAUUAAAUAUAGUUGCAUACAACUCGGCCAUUGGAAGCUAUAUGAGUGUUGGGGAAUAUGAUAAAGCUUUAACAUUAUACAAGUUGGUGAGAGAAAAUAAAAUAAAACCUGAUGCUGUUACCUUUAAUAUAUUAAUUAGUGGUUUAUGUAAGGUAGGAAGACACGCAGAAUCUCAGAAAUUUGUCGAUGAGAUGAUGGACAUGCAGAUUCCUAUAUCCAAGGAGGUAUACUCAUCUUUGAUCUGCAUGUACAGCAAACAGGCAAGUGCUAGUGACUUGCAUGAUAUAUCUACUUAAAUACAAAUUAUGAUGUCUUAUAAGGCUUUUCCUUUCAGGGUCAACUAACAAAAGCAGAAUCUACUUUCAAUAUGAUGAAGGAGACAGGCUGCUUCCCUGAUGUUAUAACGUACACUUCCAUGAUACAUGCCUACAGUAUAGCAGGUAAUAUAUUUCCUUUAUCUGUAGCAAGGAUAAAAAAGUUGGUAAAAGAAUUUUGCUCACAGGAUAUUAAUUGUGGACUGCUUUAGAGAACUGGAAGAAAGCAUUGGAGAUUUUUGAGGACAUGGAAAAAAAUGAUAUCCGGCCAGAUCCUAUUGCAUGUUCGGCCCUUAUGGAAGUUCUAAAUAGAGGAUGCCAACAUACCAAGGUUCUUCAGAUGGCAGAGUUGAUGAGACUGAAGCAUAUUCCUCUAAACUCAAGUGCCUCUUUUGAGAUUAUUUCUGCUUGCAGCAUGUAAGUUACCUGUUUCUUACUAAAUGUAAUGCUUUAAUUUAGAAUUGGUGCUUCUAGAUGGUAAUUAUUGCCGCUCCUUGUCUUUGUUGUCAUUUAUAUCCUUUUUCAGAUGAUGCUGAUUGUGGUUGAGCUUAUUAAUCUAAGACCAAUAGCAUUAUGUUAACAAUGACAUUGUUAUAUAUGAUUAGAAACUGAUUAAUGUGGAAAUUAUUAAUGACUGUUUGAUGUUUAGAAGACUAUAGUUUCCAUUUUCUUGAUAUUAGCUUAUACUCUGUGGACCCUUAUACUGGCUCCUGGAAUUGAAAAAAAAUCUUAAACUUCUUCCAGUUUAUCUGCUGAGUUGAGUAUUGAACUAGUACUUAUUUAUUUUUUAAAAUAAACUAGUACUUUUUUUAAAAAAAUGAAAUGUUCAAUGCUUCCAUUUUUCACUUUUCCUUUGUUUGUUCUUUAUCAUUCAUGGUGUUUGUGACUGCAGUUGAUGGCUGUUAUUUAAUAUGUGGUCACUUUUUGCACUUUCUUUUUUUUAGUUAGCCUCUUGGAAAGUAAAUUGACUUCCACCUUAGUUAUUACUUCAGAAGGCCAUCAUAUGUUGCCCCAUCAGGUGACACAAGAAUAGUUUUCAGCAUUUUUUUUGAUACAGUAUGCCUAACCUUCUGUCUGGUUUUUCUUUUUUCAAAUUUUUAUUAAAUGAGUUUCUUUGCCUGUGAUAUUGGCAAUUCAAUACAUUCGACAAUGACAAUGAUUUCUAACAAGUGUACGUACAUUAAUUAGUUUACGACCAUAUAUGGUUGAUUUCUGGCCUUGAAAGAUGUAUAUUAUCCAGGGAAUCUGUUAAAACUUCUAAUUUGGUUGCUGGCACUUGCUUCUUAUGGCAUACAGUAAGCAUACUUGAUAAUCUAGGAGCAUUAUGUAACUUUUACCCUUAAACUUUCUCUCAUCUUUGAUAUGCAGUUUACAAUUCACAUUUAGUUACAAAUCCAUUUUAUAAACUGAGUUGCUUCUCACAAUUGGCCAUCGACCCAUUGUCGACCCUCGACCUUCUUCAUCUGGGUUUCGCAACAGAAUCAAAGGUGUUAUUCCACCUAAUGCUAACCAUGUGGAGCUUGUUUCGACCUUUUGAAACCUUUUCCUAAUGCCUUCUAAACCCCUCGAGGCAACUGAUUUCUUUUUAUUCAUAGAUAUGGUAUUGCAUGGGUGGGCAUUUCUUUUCCUCAAAGGAAACAAGUGAACAGUCAUCCCAUGUGUAGUUCACACUCCUCAGGAGAUUUUGUGCAAGUAGUUGACCUCCUCAAAGUCUCUCUAUACACAGGGGUAAGGCUGUAUACGUUUGACCCUCCCCAGGCUUUGCAGCUUUGUGCAAUGGGAUACCCUUUAGUAGACCUCCUCAAACCUCUAAAAAGGGGAUGGCCAUCACUUGUAGGCCCGCACAUGCUAUGAAAGCGUGAAGCUUCAAUCCUAGAUGUGACAUCUAGAUCCUUGGUUGUGUGCUGCUGCUAGAUAUCUUUCAUGUUGCUCUUCUUAUUCAUUUAUUAUUUUCUCUAUUCUACUCUCUAAUGUCUGUUUAACAGAUUGGAGCCUUUCAAUCUGCGAUAGUUUCAUUAAAAAUUACUCCUGUUUUCGAACCUCUUAGAUUGUCAUCCCUGCUUAACCUCAUAUUAUACAUGCUAAUCCUUCCUGGAAUUCUCUUAAGUGUAUACCAAAAUACUUGACUGCUGUAAAUAAUUCCAUCAAGGUUGUAGUUUAAACUUCCUUCACUAUAUCAUUAUUUAUUUCUCAUGAAUUUGAUAAUUCUUCUUUCUUAUCCAGAAAUUUAACUACUGUUUUUUCCUGUUCAAGGCUAAGAGACUGGAAAAAAGCAAGCGAAAUAGUUGAAAAUAUGGAGCCCUCCUCAUUCUCAUCACUUUCACUUGGGAUUUUAAAUCAGCUUCUUUGUUUUCUUGGAAGGAGUGGGAAGAUUGAGACCAUGAUGAAGGUAAUUAUUGCAUAUUAGUUGGAUCAUUUGUUAAAAACUUUCAAAUAGCUGUUAGUUUUCUUCAGAAACCAAAUAAUUAUGCAUAUGAUAUUCUUUCUGAGCACUUGGAUAUAUCAUCAAACUAUCAAAUGAACAGAGUUAAGAUAUAUCUAUGGGUAAUAUAAGUGAUACUGACAUAUUUUUGACUAAAUAUUUUUGUGCAUUCAUGGAUGUUAGUCAUAAAUUACUAACUGUUACUUACAAGCUUUGCCCCAUGUAGUUGGGUUGGCUAUAUUAUUCAUAAUGGUUCUAUUUAGAGUCUUUUAUCUGAUGGAUUGGUCAAAUUUUUUAUACUUAACCAUCACACUGGUGAUGUGCCUCUCUUUAUUCCCGCCAUUACUCAUUUUUUGUUAUCAAUGGAUGAUGUAUCUGGUGACAUGUCUGAUUAUUAUUAUUAUACCAAGGAUUGAUGAAUUUUGUGUGGAUAGCAUGGCACAUAUCAUGCUAUGCUGUGGGGGUUAUUCCAUGCCAGUUCUCGGCAUGCACUGUCACAGCUGCAAGCCAGGUACCGUCAUGCAGCCUAUAUCAUGCCAGUGCCAUGCUAAUGAGGCACUGGCACCAUACAUAUCCCUGCUGACAGUACUUUGAUCCAUGUUUAUACAAGAGACAUUACAUUGUGCACUAAGGUAUGUGACUAUGUGCUGUAUUUUUUUUUAUUCUUUCUACCUGAGAUGCUUCUCCUUGAAUAAGUUUAUUAAAAGCAAUCCAUUCAUUCUCAUCACAUUAAUGAUUGGUUUACAAAAUGCACACAUCAUAUCAGGAUAUUGUUUUCUUAUAAUUUGCAAAAUGGCAUUGUCACAGAUAUUCCAAUAUCGCUUUCUUAUAACUUGUGAAGUUUAUGGUAAUGAUGGUACUAUUAUAUGAUACCUGAGCACAAUCUGUAUAAGGUCAGGUGUCAGGUUGAAGCAGCUGCAGUAUUCUGCUGAAUAUCUCAUGGAGCCUUCUUGAAUUGUGCUCCAUAAACAAUGUCAAAUUGCUGGACAAAGAUUCGUUGAUGUUAAUUGCCAUUGUUCUCCGACAACUACUUAGUUGCACAUGAUUAAUACAUACUCAUUUUUUACGCUAAAUUACUGUUAAUUUCCAGGAUCAUUAUUCUAUGAGAUGUUGUGGAAGACUUGAAUCGCCUUGUUCUUACCUUGCAAAUCCUUUCUUGAGUACAUGAGUUCAUUUUUAUGGUUACAUAUGAUCUAUCAAAAGUUGAGAACUUUCUUUAUGGGCUUUCAAUAAACACCUGCCCUUUAUCAUGCUGAACUCUUGGUCAAGGGUUAAGGCGGAUUUUGCAAGGAGUGGCUUCCCAUGAAACUUAAAGAACAACCAAAGGGAAGAGAGACAUAUACUUCUUAUGGUUAACCUCCAUGGUCUGCUAGACUUCCAAGUGUUUAAAUGGAAUAGGAAGAAAAGGAAUGGUAUGAUUAGAAAACUGCAAGAGCACUUCGUAUAGUGACGUUGAAAUAUAACCCUAGUUUUUUUUUUAAUGAUUAAAUUCUUAGAAGAUUUAGUUAGUUCGAAUUGUUCAAGUGAUUCUCUGUAUUAAUUACAAGAAAGUUCAAUAAUUCACAAAAUUUUCAAAUUAUUCUUGAUACCACAAACAAUAAUAAGUGAUUAACAAGUUUUUGAUGAACUACUUGCAUAUUAUUUAUUAAUAAUUUUAUUUUCUGUAGAAGUGUCUAUUGUUUGUUGUUGACUCUCUCAUGCUUGCUUCACAUGCUCUAGUAUAUGAAUGAAGCGAUAUUGUGCAGCUUUCAAAUCCCUAUCAGUUAUCUGUUUUUGUCUCUGUUCUUAUUCUGAACUUUUUGGAAACUUGGUUCAGAAUUCCUGAAUGUUGAACUUGUUAUUCUAUCAAUCCCAAGUUUUGGUAAGGAAAAAAAACUAAGAUUACCAUUUUAACAGCUGGUCACAUAGAAAGCCCAAACUGUGAAAAGAUUUUUUUUAAAAUUAUAAUAAUAAAAAAGGUUCAUGCAAUAGAUACUAGCUAAAGCCGCUUUUUGGUCGUAUUCCAUGGUUGCUCCAUGCGUUAUCUAUUAUAUAAGAAGAUAUGUGUAAAAGGUGUUAUAUGUAAAUGUUCAUGAAAAAAAACAGAAGGUUUUCCUAUUUUUGGGAACAUGGGGCAGUGUAGAAUGCCCUCAAGAUUUUAUUAAAGACCAAGUAGAGAUGCAACAGUAGAAUACAGAUUAAUGCUAUCUAUUGAACUAUUCCACUUUUGAAGUCCUUCCUGAUCAAUGAAGCAAAUGAAUAUUUUCAGGAAAAAGGAAAAGGUUUUCUCCACAUAAGAUAUAACUCGUUUUUUAAUAGAUGAAGCACAUUAUACAUAUUUGCAGAUCAAGACCUCCAUUAGCCCAGAAAUUUAUCAUACAAAUCAAAUUAAUUUUGUAUUCCCCUAAUGAAAUAUCUAUUUAGUUUCUUCCGGUUCCUCCUCUGAUUCAGCCCUUGGAGCUUCUAGCUAGUGAUGAGUACUUUAAUCUCUAAAUGCAAGACAGAGUCAAGAUCAUAAUUCUUUCCAUGAUGGCUAGCUAAGAACUCAAAAUUUAAUGAUGAUGGUGUUGGGAAGUAGGAGUGGCUCACUGGCUAAAUGCUCCAAAAGGUUGAGUGAGGAGAGAAAUGGGAAAAUUUGCAGUAAAUAUUUCCAUUAUGGCUGAUGAAAAGUUAACUUGGGGCCUAUUUGGAAAUUGCUGGGAUGAAAGAAGCUUAUCUGAAAAUAUAUAAAAGAGAGGUCUUUAUUUGCAAGGAAGGAGUUAUAUUCAGAAAACUUUUCUUUACCUUUUAAUCUGUUUAAUAUAUGAAGUCAAUCAGCAAGUGUAUCACAUUAUCUCCAUAUAUAUAUAUAUAAUUUCCCAGAAGUUUAGAGUGAGGAGAUCCUUUCAAAUGUGGAAUUACGAACUAACUGCACUUUGUGAGAUUGAGUUUUCCCAGCUGUCCAAUCAGCCAUCAAUUUCAGACUAUUUUUGAUGAGUAAUCUCUGCAUUCUAACAAUUCAGUGACAACUACUAAACUCUAGUAGAUGGAUUGAUUCGGUGAUUUCGUUUCUGUGAGUUCAUAAAUUAAUAGACUCUGUUGAAAAGUUUAAUUAAACCUGAAGUAAUUAUGCUUUAAUAUAUUAUGAUAUGUCUGUGAUAAUUGUGUCCAUUACUUAUUGCACCUGGUGUUAAUUAUGAAAUGAUUGCAGGACUUCUCCAAUAAAUUGCUUUUCUACCUUUCAUGUAUGCAGCUUUUUUAUGAGAUAGUGGCCUCAGGUUCAAAUGUCAGCUCUGCAACAUACUCGAUUCUUUUGAAGAAUCUUUUGGCUGCUGGGAAAUGGCGGAAAUAUAUUGAGGUGCAUAAACUUGUUAUAAAUUAGGGGUAUUACACUUGGUAAAUUGCACAUGUUGUUUGCUCUUUAGUUUAGUCAGACCUUUUUAAUUAAUGAUAUAGUGGUACUAAGGUUCGUCGAACCGGUACCGAGACCCAUACUGGUCGGAGAGCGGUUCGGUUUUGUACCGGUUCGAACCGAGCUAAAUCGGGAGUGCUGAUUCACGGACCGACACUCCCUAAUUUAUAUUUUUUUUGUAGUUCUCUCUCUUUUCGAACUUUUUCUAUAAAUUUAAGCCUAAUUUGAUGUUUUUUGUUGUCUUUUUGAUGUUUUUUUGAUAUUUCUAUAUUUCGGUAUAAGCUAGAUGCAUCUUAUUGCUUCAAAAUGAUACAAUCAUAAAAUGGACAGCAUAAAAUAUUCUUAAAUCAAGAUACAAAUCAUUGCCAUAGCCCCACAGCGGGACUCAGAUUCGGUGAGAACUGACGAACCGGACGGAACUGUUUUCCAUUGCAGAACCGACCGGGUCGGAGACCGACCAGAUCGGCUCGGACUGAAUCAGCCAGUUCGGCUCGAUUCGGACUGAAUCAGCCGGUUUGGCGAUCGUUGAGUGGUACUGGUGUCAAUUCACUCACAAUCACAUAUGGUUGUGUGAAUAAAAGAAAGCACAGGAUAAAAUUCAUGUACUUUUUUACAGAUCGAUCAAUCUCCUCUUUAGGCCCUCCAUUACAUCUCUCCUGUCAUACUUAUUUGUCUUCUAUUAUAGCUUGCAUCCCUUGAAACAAAAACCAAAAGACACUGCACUAAAUAUUGCCUGCAAUGACAAUGGUAUCCCUUCAGUUCUGUUAUCUAUCACAUCAUUUACUGCAAGGACCAUGCUACUAUAAAUAACGAUAGGCCAUAGGCAGCUUUGUCAAGUGAAGCCUUGAAAUAUCUUAAACCUUAUUUUUUUUCUAUCUUGAAAAAUUAGAGAACUCACUUUAUAAAAAGAAGCUGGAAUUUCUGGUUCUCCACCUUUCCCUGCAUGAUAAGAAUUGUAUAUUGAGAAGACAAUUUUUAUUGCCCAGCAUUUAAAUGUUAAAAUUAUCUUCAGUUGCUGCAUUCCUUGAGAAUCUGGUUUCAGUAAGUCCUGCUGAGUGGUGAUAGCCUUUGAUGUAGCGGUAACUUAGAUCAAGCAUUCCAUCUUUUACAGCAGCUUCAGAAUUAUUUCCAUCACCAUCAUCAUAGUAGUAGCGGUAGUAGUUAUUAUUGUUCAAAUUGCUAGUAUUAGGCAUUGCUUACAAAAUAUUGAUGUAAGUUUUGCAUGCACAGGUGUUGCAAUGGAUGGAGGAUGCAGGAAUUCAACCAUCGCUCUAUAUGUACAACAAUGUUCUCCCAUAUGCAUGGAAGGACAACAGCAUGGAGCAUGUUGUUCUGAUCCAAGAAAGAAUAAGUAAGAUAACAUAUACAUACAUACACAAUACGCACACACAUAUGCAUAUAUCCAGUGCUUUGGUUAGUCCCAUCUGUUUGCUCAUCAAAAAAAUGAAAAACAAAUCUGUUUUGUGAGUAAUUUGCUGACUAACCAUCUGUCAUAAACUUUUUUAUGGCUCCGUGUUUUAUUGGAGGUGCAUUUACAUGUAAUUUGUAAACCAUUGUUUUGUCUAUAAAAAUGAAAAAUGACGUGGAAGGUCUACUCUAGAAAUGUGAGGUAGUAGGUGAAAAUUUAAAAAUGCAGCUCUUUGCAUGUAUGAGGUAAGGUUGAGGGUAAGCCUUAGUGGAAUGGUGAGCUUGCUCCAUUGUGACUUGGAGGUCAUAUGUUUGAAAUACGGAAACAACCUCUCCGUAUGCGGGGAUAAGGCUGUGUACAUUUGACCCUCCUCUGAUCCCGCAACGGUAGGAGCCUCGUGCACCGGACUGCCCCAUUUUUACAUGUAUUAGGUAUUUGAAAGUUGUCCAUAAUAUAAUUCAGAUGCUUCUGCAUCUCAUUUGAUAUCUUUAGAAGUCAUCUUAUCAAUCAUCCUCAGCAGAUUAAUGGUCUUGUUGUUGUACUUCACGGCAUUCAAGUGUACCAUUUACGAUAAGGUCUUUUCAUUAUUUGCAUAUGAUAAUGUAAAAUUUCCCCCAUCUUUCAAGCUUUCUGUAAUGAAAUGCUUUCUUCUUGCUUGACACCUCAAGCUCACAAGGAUAGCUUUAACAUAAUUCCUAAGCUUUAGAAAUAUGUCAGCUUAUUUAAUUUCUGUAAUGUGUUUUGGUUGAGGUGGCUAGGAGGCCCUUGGCAAUGAAGACCACUAAUGCCUAGGCAGUUGUCUAGUGUCUGAGGUGUUGAACAAGAAAAAAUUGAAGGCUGGAGAGAGAGAGAUGAGGGAGAAGAAAAAUUGCAAGGUAACAAAGAAGAACAGAACGAUAAAAAGGGAGUAAGGACACAGGUUAAAGGAUUAUUAAGACAAGUUAGAGGAAUAAAAGGAAAAGUAGAGGAAAAACGGAAAGGGGCAGAAGUGGGAAUGCAACUAAUAAAAGAAGCUUGAUUAUUAAGGUGUGACAAUGUGGAAGCUAAGAGGAAUUUGAAGUGAAAUGAAAGAGAAUGAAAGUAAGAAAACAAAAGGAAAAAUAGGAAAUGGAGAGAGAGAGAGAGAGCAUUGCUAGAUCCUAGGGCUGGGUUCUGUUACAGACCUCCACUUUCAAGGUGGUAUGUGGAAUGGGUUCAAAUAAGUGAAGUCGUAGGUUGCAAAAAUUAAGUUGCUAUGGCAAGCAAUCUUUAGAAUAUGAAGUUAUGAACAAUCACUGUGAAAGAAUCUUGUUACCUCGAUUCUAAAAUAGCAAGAGUUGCCUAUACACACUUAACAAUUUUUUUUUAAAAAAAUUCUCUCUCCCUCCCUCCUUUCUCUCAUAAUAUGUGCGCGCUGUGUGUGUGUGAGAGAGAUCCAGUUAUCCUGUCCAGAAAUGGAGGCAGAAUCAAUGCAAUGUCAGGUUUAUGAUGAAAGGAGUGUUUAGAGACAGCUCAAUAAAUGUCUUUCUUUUCUUUUCAAGAGGUGGAAUAAAACAAUCUAGUUGACUCAUAGUGAUCAUUCACCUGUAAUGCACUGUAUGUCCCAUAAUUGGUUCCAUUCUUCGGCACUUUCCUGGGAGUUGACUAUUCAUUGCACUUUCCUGGGAGUCGACUAUUCAUGGCUAUUUCUUGGGAGUCGACUAUUUGGCACUGUAUGCACUUUCCUGAUUCAGCAUUGGAGAUAUAUGGAUUGUUCGCUGAAUUUGUUGUUCCACAGAAGUCUUCUGUUGUAUGCUACUUUCUUCCUCCUUUUUUUCCCUACUGGAAAAACAAAAAACUUGAAGUCCUUGUAAAGAAGUCUUCUUCUUUCCUAACCCCCCAAAAGGGCUUGAAUUCUCUUCAUGUAAGACAAUAUCUAUGAUGCAAAUAACAAUUUUGGGCUGGCAUAUUCUGCUAACCGCUGUGUCUGUUAUGAUUUGAUCGUUAUAUUUAAGUAUAUCUUGUGCGUAACAGAUCUUGACUGAUUUUUUUAUUGCUUAGGGAACUGCUAUUAAGUUCUUUUUUCAUCUAUUUAAAAUUUUCUUGUUGUAGGCUCUUUGAGAGAAAAAGUUCUUUGAGCAUUGAAGGUUAAGUAUGCUAGAGAUUUCACAAUGAUGAGCUAGCCAGUGGAUGGGGCUGCUUGAGGCGACUGUAUCUCAGGUUCAUAGGAACAACUACCUAAAGAAAUGCAGUACAUUUAGCAUGCGGAAAGCACAAAUGAGUUAACUGGUGUGUGGGCUUGUUUGGCAAGGAAAUUCAAGAGCUUAAGGUCAUAUUCUGCCAGCACCUCAGCUAAACAGGUAAUUCAAGAAUUUGAAGGCAUGACAACCCAAGUGGUUUGUGCGAAUCACGGUGAAGAUUACACAUGGUGCUAAUGUAUAUUUCUGUUCUGUAUGGUUGGACUGUAGAAUGGGCAUCAUUUUAAUUAUUGAUUUCAUCUUGAUGCAGAGAUUUGAGGAGUUACAGAUCCUCUUCAUCCUUUUCAAGCUUGUCGACUGUUGCUAGAAAAUUUGUGUGUCCAGGUAUCAUCACCAGCCUUUCACAAGAAAGGCUGUUAAUUAAUACAGUUGCAGUAUCGUUUAUGAAAUUAUGCUGCUUUUUCUCUUGGCUAGGUUUUCUGUUGUGGCAUUAACAGGGAAGUGGGGCCAAAUGCUCCAUCAUCUGUAGAGCCCUGUUGUUUCCAUGUUUAUUUCUUUUGCUUUUAACAGGCUCUUAUUAUGAAAUUAGCAGAUGAAGUGGGGCUGAAUACUCUGUAUCAUCUGCAAAGCUGGAAAUUAACUAGUUUAGAUAGGUUGUUUCACUGGAGAAAGUUAAGAAAAGGUUGUAGAACAGUUAAGAGACCAGCAAUCUCUUUGUUCUCAACCAUGUUGUAAUGAAGUCUGGAAUGAAGAUGAGUGAGAAUGUUAACUAUGCUAUCUAAUUUGAAGUCUGGAAUAAGAUCGGCUCUCUAGCAUAUUGCAUAAGCUUCCACUUUUUGCAUUAUGGCAAAUCUACUUCCCCGGUUUUGGGUCUCCCUCCCACUGCUUUUCCCAAGUAUUAUGCAGGUCGCAAUUCACAAUUGUACAAAGGUUCAAACUAUAAGCGAGAAGAUAAAACCAGUUAGCUAUAGAAGAGAUCAGGUAUUGGAUCUUUUAGGGGAAUUGGCACCUCACUGAAAUGCUGCAUCGAGCUAACAACAAAGGAAACAGGUCCUCUCCUGAAUGAUGCGGUCUCAAUCAUCCGGUUGGCUUAAAAACUCAAUCGGCAAAUUAUGAGGACUGGACCAUGUCACCGUGGACCUCUCAUGUCAUGGCCCUCCUCUGCUGUACUAGUAUUUUAUGCAGCAUGGAGUGCAGAACAAUCUUCCCACCAAGUCUUGAGGGGAUGGUAAUGGGUUGGGUGGGUUCAUGUCGUCAGAGAUGACAAUAAUAUACAAAAAAUCUUGACCACACAUAUUGAUGGUCUGAAAUGAUCCGUUUAACUAAAACAUAAUUUAUUUUACAUCCUUAAUGGACCCAACCUAACAUGACAAACCUGUUUGUUACUCAUUCUUGCCUGUUUAUUUUUAAGGGUAUGUUUGGUUUCAAAGAGAUGGGAAAGGUAAAAAUAAGGGAUUUCUAUAGAAAUGGAAAAGUUUUCUAGAAAAAAUAGUUUUAAACUUUUCGAAUUUAGAGGUAGAAGAUCUUUUUNNNNNNNNNNNNNNNNNNNNNNNNNNNNNNNNNNNNNNNNNNNNNNNNNNNNNNNNNNNNNNNNNNNNNNNNNNNNNNNNNNNNNNNNNNNNNNNNNNNNNNNNNNNNNNNNNNNNNNNNNNNNNNNNNNNNNNNNNNNNNNNNNNNNNNNNNNNNNNNNNNNNNNNNNNNNNNNNNNNNNNNNNNNNNNNNNNNNNNNNNNNNNNNNNNNNNNNNNNNNNNNNNNNNNNNNNNNNNNNNNNNNNNNNNNNNNNNNNNNNNNNNNNNNNNNNNNNNNNNNNNNNNNNNNNNNNNNNNNNNNNNNNNNNNNNNNNNNNNNNNNNNNNNNNNNNNNNNNNNNNNNNNNNNNNNNNNNNNNNNNNNNNNNNNNNNNNNNNNNNNNNNNNNNNNNNNNNNNNNNNNNNNNNNNNNNNNNNNNNNNNNNNNNNNNNNNNNNNNNNNNNNNNNNNNNNNNNNNNNNNNNNNNNNNNNNNNNNNNNNNNNNNNNNNNNNNNNNNNNNNNNNNNNNNNNNNNNNNNNNNNNNNNNNNNNNNNNNNNNNNNNNNNNNNNNNNNNNNNNNNNNNNNNNNNNNNNNNNNNNNNNNNNNNNNNNNNNNNNNNNNNNNNNNNNNNNNNNNNNNNNNNNNNNNNNNNNNNNNNNNNNNNNNNNNNNNNNNNNNNNNNNNNNNNNNNNNNNNNNNNNNNNNNNNNNNNNNNNNNNNNNNNNNNNNNNNNNNNNNNNNNNNGUUUCAGCUACCAAGGGAUAUCAUAUUUGGAACAAUCCAACUCAUCCACCAAUACUCCUUGAGGGUGUUUUUAGCUAGAUUCUUUGUUAGGAUUGAAGCCUCAAUCCCAUCAGUGCAAAAUAUAUGUCUGUCCACUCAUGAAAAUCUGAAAUAUUAAUGAUGAUAUGCAAUACUUAGAAUGCCGCAUCAUAGAAUUGGAUCCUCAUUAUUGCCAGUGCAAAAUAAGCAUUAGGCCACAUAAUUCAUGAAAUCGACUAUGUCAGCGGUAUGGUGCCAAUGUUUUAAAAAGAUUGUUGCAAUAUGUGGGUAGUGAAGAGACUAAUGGCGCAUACACAUCGUAUGGGUUGCAUAUGUGGUAGUAUUUUGAAUAUUUUAAAUAAAUAAGAUAUAUUAAAUACAAUGAUAGCAACCUUUUUGUAAAUAAAACCAAUAAGUUAGUACAUAUUUGUUAGUACUUAAUGCAAUAAUUAUGGCAUAACUAAUAUAUUGAUAUCUUUAAGAUGCAAUAGCUGCCUUGCUUAAAACCAAUAUCUAACCUAACUAUUGCUUGAACUUGCCUCAUAUGCAUGGGUCUUCCUAAUGGUGGGCUAUAUAUGUGGUCUCACAAUGCUGAAGGAGCUAUAUAUGGAAAUCGAAAAAUGAUUAAUAGGCUACAAGUGAAAUUGCACUAUGCUAAUCUAGCCUUAGAUGUAUUUGCAUAGUGCUAAGUGAACCAUGCUUUUGGCUAAUAUGCAGCCUGACCAGAUAAAGUGAAGGCUUGUGGUCUAGCCUUCUAGGGACUGCAUAUGCAUAUCCAGUCUCAUACAUCACAUUUCAAACACGUACAAUAAUGACUAGAUUAAUGAUCUAAAUUUGUUGAAACCCAUUGAAUUUUGGUUCCUACACAUUUAAAGAUCUGUUGAUUAAGAUCGAUAGUGUGAAAUCUUUUAGCUUUAUACUCUACCACAUAUUUAAAUUUUAAUAAAUGCUUUUCUUGCUAUUUUCAUCUGAUGCAUAGUUGAAAGACCUUUAAAAGAUGUAAAUUUAUUUUUCUAAGCAUUUUAAAUGUUGUGAUUUAUAAUCAAUGGCAUGGAUUUGCUAUUUUAAUGGCCAUCAUUUAUUUUGUGUGGGUAGGAUUUAGUCUCCUUUGUUACCGUCCUAGCUUAGCUGUGUACACAGACACACACAGUGAGAGAAAUCCAUUUAUCCUUUGUGCCUCCAUAUGUAGAAAGAAGUUAAAUCAUUAUUACUUUAAAACCUUUAUCCAGACUGCCUUGAAUGGGUUAAAUUUUUUAGACAGUUUUUGUCAAAUAAUAUCCUCCAAAGAUAAUGAUUAAUUUCUCUUUUAAUAUAGUGUAUUCUAAAAUUUUAAAGUGUGAAUUUAAGUUUUGAUAGUGUUAUCUGUAUAUCUUGUUAACUAUGACCUUCAUAUUAAAACUUGGCUAUUGAACUACUUGGCUUAAAUCAUAAACUGAGUGCAAACAAGUUAUUUCUAUCGUAAAAAAAAUCAAGAAUUUCAUACUUUUAAACAUUUUACCUUUGGUCUAUGUACCAUGAACGAGCAUAUCAAGCAAGUUUUAAAUACCGUGGUUUUCCUUAAACAACAUGUCUCCAUGAGAUAGAAGAUGUCCUGUUGCAGUUCACUUCUCCACUUAUCUCAUCACAACAUUUGGGAUGGUUCAUCAUCUCAACACUCAAGAUAGUUUAUCUUAAUUAUGCGUGUAGCCAACUUUGAAAUGUUGAGUCGACCCCGAAAUGAGAUCAAGCUAUAGUAAAAUGGUAUACUAACCUUGAGUGACUAUGGCUGCCUAAACUCUCUCCUGAAAUUUGGAUUGGCUUGUUAACUUAUCCAUUCCUUUGGACAAAGAGUACCUGGUUUGGCCAAAAGACCUCUGCAUGUCAUCAUGCAUCUUAGGAGUAGCAUAAAAAGAGGAAUUAACAUUAUUGACCCUAUGAGAGACCACUAACACCUUGCAAACUGGGGCUUCACGCUUGGGAAAAGACUUCCAUGAUUGGAAACCAGCCGCUAGUUACCUGCAUGCUGGAAAGGAACCAAGACAAGAAGAUGAGGCAUCGAGACCUAAAGGCAAAUCAUAUUAAAUCAUAGCACAAUGUGCACAACAUGUCAAAUUAUAUCUAGACCAUGCUAAUCCGUAUAUUUUGAACCAUGUUGCAAUAGCUUGUGGGAUUUUGGCGGCCCAAAGUCACAGGGCGUGCGCUGUAGCCUUUUUGACUUUUGCGGCCCACCAUGGCCUUUUUGGCUGAGAGCAAUAUUUAGCGCCUUCCCAUAACUGAUUAGCCGCAGCCACAGAAAAGCCCGUCACCUUACUUUUUUUUUUUUUCUUUUUUUUUUCUUUGUUACCUACUUUUUUUUUUCUUGUUCGAGACAUCCUUUCAGCGAGAUGAUCGAGAGAAGCUCACACGAGGACACGACGGUACCCGGUCAACUCAGUCAGGAGGGUGACAUAGUCAGACAGAGAGGGACACGAAGGCUAAGAAGGCAGCUGCCCAGUGAACCAAAAAAGAAAAACAAAAAAGCCCCAAUGGAGAGUGUCGAGAAGGAGUCUCGGAGCAGCAACAAUGACGGUUUUGGUGGAUCUGCUAGCCACGGAGAAGUGGAUGACAAGAGAGCAUUAUUUAUGACACACAGCUGGAGGCUGGUCUUCGGUACAUCGAUAAGUUCCAGUUUAUACAUGCUACACAGAAUAGGAACUACGGUAAAUGAUCUGGUAGAGCCUGCGAGGAUAUGAUUGCAUAUAGGAGACAUGCUCCUUGAGGUCAUUUAGGAAGACACGAUGCAGUUACAUAAGACCUUGCACGUAGAAUAGGAUCCAUAAACGUAUCAAGUUCCGAGUCAUAUACUAGAUCAUAUUAUCCACAAUCAUAAGACUCAUAUAGAUACGAAUAUGGUGCAUCUCAUGCAUCUUCCGAUGGCUACUAUCCUACAAAGUCCGGAGCAUCUCACGGGUCGGAUUUUGCUACCGAGAUAUUUGGGUGAGCCCCUUUACAGCUAUAUUAUCAGCCAGAGAACACUUUUCCAGAGCUAGAGCUUUAGCGAGAAAUCCGAGAGUUCUCGUAACCCAGCGCGCGUUCCUCAAGGAAUGAGCAUACAAGACUACAACGCUGCUUGAUUAGAGGGGUGGGUUAAUCUGCCUAUUUAUUAUGCUGAUGAUUCGGAUAUCUACUAGAAGCAUCGCCACUCGACCCAAGAGUGCUUUAAAAGUAUGUAAUUGAUUGCAUCUUCAGUUGAAAAUAUUUUAUAUUAUUUAUUUCAUGAUUUGUAUCAUUUCAAAGAAAUAAGAUGCAGCAACUAGCUUAAAUCGGAAUCAUAGAAAUAUAAAAAAAAAUCCAAAAGAUAUCAAGAAAACAUCAAAAAAAAAUCAAAUUAUACUUAAAUUUGUAGAAAAAGUUUGAAGAGAGAGAAAACUCUCAAAAAAUUACAAAAAAGUUUGAAAAUAAUUGCCGAACCGAACAAACCGGUUCGGUACUGGUACCGAACUGGUUCCGGCGCCGAUCGGUAUCAGUACCGGUUCGGCGAUCCUUAAGGAGAAGCCUUUGUUAUUUUAUUAUUUUUUUUAAAGAAAGAAAUAUGCUAAGAAAGAUGAUCCCAAAACUUUGAAGUAAGACUUAAUGGUUAUGGCCAUGGUUAUUGAAACAUGUUAACAGAAAAGCAAUACUUCAUUAUUCAGGCCAUGAUGCAGUAGAUUUACCCCAAACAGAUAGUCGCUAGAAUAAUUUAACCAGAUGUCUGUUGUCCAUCUGAAUGUGUUACAUAUACUGUAUCACUUUCACAGGGCUGAAAAAGGCCUUGUGAAUCAGACCAAAAUACAUACAUAUGCACCUAAAUCUUAACAAAUUGAACAAACUCGAGCAAAGGUAAGCAACCAUACAUACCUCUUGGUACAAAUAAAAGAAUUGCCUAAAACUCUGCAAAAUCAACCCAAGUAAUAAGUGGCGGCCAUGAACAUACAGCAAGCUGCUUUAACGGAGUUUACUGACCCAAUCUCAAUCCAAACAUAACAGCAUGACAAAAUAGAAACUUUGAGAGCUGGAAACAGCAGCAUGUCCAUAGAUACAUUCUCAAAAGAGAUCCACCUUCUUUUUGUGCAUGUCUUGCUUCCACUUGGGCUGCUGGUAGAAUGCUUCUCUUGUCAUCCCAAAAACAGUCUGGAACUCAUCAUCAGACAGAUAAGACUACACAAAAAAAAGGAGAGGAUCAACAGAUGAGCAUAAAUGGAGCACAUUCUCUUGAGAAAUUGUUAGCAAAAUCUAGGAUAAUAAGCUUCUAGAUUUUAGAGAAACUUUAGAGCAUGAACCUCUCUUCGUUUGUAAUCAAUUCCUCUAACAGGGUUUCUGGACUUGGAUUUUAGUCGUUCAUAACUGAAUAUACGUUCACCUCCGUCAUCUACUGGUGAAUCCUCUUUCAACUCAGAAUCAACUCCAUUAUCCUCUGAUUCUCUUUCCUCCAUGCCUUCUGCUGAAAUUUCUAGGGGAUCCCCCAUCUCAGAGCUCGCACCAUCAGUAUUCUCGCUAUCUGCAAUCAAUUGAAGGUAAAAUUUUAUUAUCCACUAAAUAAUUUUACUAUGGUAAAGAUAAGAUCCAUUUGUAAUUCGCAUGUACAAGGUGUGAUAUCAUUAGCAUAAAAAUGAUAUAUUUCUGCUAUACUCUCAUGGGAUCCAACCAACAUCACCAUGACCUGCAAACGUUAGGUCUAAAAUUCUCAUGGAGGUUCAUGUGAUAUUAAUGCAAUUGGUGCAUUCUUUUGUGCUUUAAAGAGAAUUGGUAGAAUGUGAUGACUAUAAUGAGUUCAUUUUAAAAAAGAUUUUUUUAUAAAGAACUCUACAACUCUAGUUCACCAAUCAACUGAUCAUACAUGAAAUAUAUCAUAUUUCCAAACCAACACAUACCAACAGGAGUGAAUGUAAAUUCAGAUUUGCCCUGGACCCUACCAAAAAUAGACUAUUACCCAGUCAAAUAUAUAAAACCAUGGGGGAAUCUUGAACCUCAAAAUUGAAAAGCAAUCAAACAGAACAAAGCCAACACAGUCAAAAAAGGCCUUUGCAGUCAGUAACAUUCUCCCUAAGGAGUCCCAUCCACCCUAUAACAUUUGCUUCACACUACAAUUGGUAAUACUAACCAGAGCUCAAUCAUAAUUGUAUUUCCAGUUGAUUCAUCCAGAAUAUUAAUAUUCUCAAAUGCAGCAAAAGAAAAAUAAGAAAGGAGAUAAAUCUUUUUCAUCUAUAAUCAAUAAUACCGUUAAUACUGACCGUUCUAAGCACUUAUAUGUCCUAGAUAUUCAGAAAGCUUCAUUUCCUUGCUUGAUAACCAGUACUUUCAGGUUUACACAACUAAGAUACAGACCAUGAAAUUAGACCUAAUAAUAUCAUGAAGCCACUUUGAGUGCACCCAAUUUUAAUUAUUCAGAAAGUCUUAAAUUAAAACCUACACCAGCUCUGACUUGCAGCAUCCAAUUCCAGACCUUAGACCCAAGGUCAAUUUAGGUCUGGUCCAGGUCAUGGUUGAUUAAGAUCAAAACAUUCAUUCAAGGUCCUUCACACAAGGAACCCACAGUUCUGAGAUCAUACAUUAUGUAAAUAAAUAAAUUAAAAUAUGCUUGUCUUUCACUGUAUCCAAGAGUAGGCCGCACUAUGGAGAAAGCAGUGCAGUCACUAUGAUUAUAGACAAAACUUUGCUCCAACUAUUUUUUGGGGGUGUUUUGCCAGGUAACCUGCAUAUGUUAACCCAUACACAAGUGUAAAAUGUAAUUGGGUCCUUUGAUUCAACUGGGGGAAGAAGCACUGCUUCCAUGGAUAUCAUAAUUGGGCAUCCAAACAUCCCUCCAUCUUAAAGGAAAACAACUUGAUAUGUAAACUUGUUUUACUAACUCAAAGAGCAACAAAUCAAGUUAUAGAAAACAAAAACAAAAAUAAAGACACUCUACCAGCAACAGGAUGUUCUGGUGAAGGGCUUCUGCUCCUGAAUUGAUUAGCAGUGCCUUCAGAUUGUGCCACCUUCUGUUCAGCAGUUAGAACAGUUGAUAGUGCGGCAACGGCAGCUGCUCUCUGUGAUCCCUGUCUUGGAUGAGAUGAUGGCUUUGGAGCUGCAACUUUGGGCACAGAAGAAGGAUUGAAGGCGGAAGAUAAGGCUGCUAAUGCAGAUGCCCUUUGUGUAGGUCCACCAUGAUUUGGAGUAUUGGAUCUUGCACUUGACUGCUGGAGCACAGAAGAAGGAUUGAAGGCGGAAGAUAAGGCUGCUAAUGCAGAUGCCCUUUGUGUAGCUCCACCAUGAUUUGGAGUAUUGGAUCUCGCACUUGACUGCAGGAUAUCAUUAACAGUAAAUUAUGAUAAUUUAAUAAAGAUAACAUCUAGUAAUAUCUACUCACAAGGUCUCAGUAUAUUCCCACUAAUAUUUGUUGGGUGACAAGGGGCGUAAACAUCCUAAAUGAGCACGAAAAUUUUGUGAAAACAUAUUUAAGAAAGAAAAUGACAAGUGCAUCAGCUAGAUAUGGAAACAAUUGAAUAAUCAAUCGCAAAGAGCUUAUCUAAUGGCCAACUACAAACUCUUACCAUUUUGCACUUUGCUAUGAAUGCACUAUGUAUCAUGUUAUGCAGUUCCCAACGAGCAUCUUAAUGGUAAAUUAUUGACUGUUAGUUAGGCUGCAUGUAGAGGUUUUGUUGAUGUUAUACUUUACCUAAAUUUGAGAAAUUCAGAGUUUUGAAAAUUGAGAUUUUUCAGAAGAUGUUUAUGGAAUUCCAUUUCAACUAAAUGCCCAGUAUAAUCAGAUCAUAACUGGUUAGUUUGAAAGAUACAUAAAAUCAUGAAAUAUCAUGAUUUUUGUAAAACAUGCAGACAUACCUUUACACGACUCAGAAAAGCAUGUACUUCAGCUCAAACUUUCGAAUGAAAAUGUUAGAUAUAGAAGUUUACAGUAAAAUAUAGGUAAGUAUAUGAACGUCAGCUUCACGGAAAACAUAUAUGGAGAUGAAGGCUGUAGUUACAUCAUAAUCUGAAGAUUCUCCAAAAAUAUCAUUCCUUACUUUUGAUCGAUCACAUAAGAAUAAACAGAACAUUUAUGCUGUCUUCAAUAGGUCCAAAUGAAGAUCAAAUAGACAUGUUUUUUUAGAAAUGUACUUGUCAAGCACCAUUAAAGCAGACCAAAGCUUUAAUGAGCAAUUACAGGAUUAUUGCAAAAAUAGAAAUGUUGAGGAAAGGGCAUGAAAUAACAAGUUGAAUAUAGUAAACAUGAGGACAUUUCGCUGAUCUAUGGUAAAACCGAAGAAAAAUAUAUUAGACAAAGCUGACAUAUCUAAAUAAGGAUAAAAAUGAUAAAUUUUUUUGAAAUGACUCAUGCUGGAUACAGGCUAGAUAUGAUUACAGGGACCAGCAUGGGCAAAAAAAAAUUAAAGAAAAUUGUUUGAGAUGCAUACGGUAGGAAAAUGAAACUGGUGCAUAAACGAUUUGGAUCUCAAUAACAUGAAACUUCUACUUAAGGUGCCACACUGAAUUCUAAAACUGAAUAGAAUCUUCCUCCCAUACUUUCUUAGCCCUUAUAUUUUUUUUGAGAGAUUCAUUACCCAACACCCGCACUCAUAACACUUUAGUCAGCUAAUUAGGACUUACGGGAGUUAAUAAUAGACUGACAAAUUAAGAUUUCAGUACAAGCAUAGAGAUUUGAGAAAGGGAUUUGAAGUCGUCUUCCAUCAUAAGUCUGCUUUGCGAGAACAAUGAAGUGGGUUCAUAAAGCCAACCCCAAUCAGAUUGGAAAAUUCUUGUUAAAGUCUUUUCGCCCGCCCAGUAAAUAAAGGCACUUGCAUUAGUCUUCAAAUCAAUAGACUAUCUAGAUUCACUUUCCGCUGAUCUUUAUGUAGAGGAAGGGCUUACUUAUCGAGCCUCCUACCACUGCUUUGAUCGCUGACGGGACAGAAUCUGCGAUUCGACUUGAUGAAUACUACUUGGCAAAAUUCUUUUCUUUCUACCUAUAGUAGACCCAUGGAUUCAUCAGGCAACAUGCGGAUAGAAGACUGUUUAGCAGAUCCAAACUUUCAGAAGGAAACAGACGCAGGUUCUACAAAAUGUACAAUUUUCACCUUUUUAAAAUUUAAAGAAAUGUUCAAUAUUAUAGGGUCCACUUAGACUAAAGUUAAAUUUCUUAGUAAGGUCUGCAAAAUCGGUAUUGAGAACCAUAGCAGCAUAUUACUGAUUCGGCACAGUACAGAUGGCAAGAUAAGCACCUCGUACCGACCCAGGCUCCCAACAUUUGUUUCUCACCCCAAGCCAUGGUAUAGCUCAAAACUGGGUGCCAUGGUCAGUAUCAGGCAGUUCCAUUUGAUUCAGACUUGUAUGGACUGGUUCAGCUCAUAUAUCGAACCAAACAUAGGAACUGUUCUGGUUCUGAACCAUUACAAUACGGUAUGUCCCGGUAUAGGUGGUUCAGGAUGGUUUGGCAAACCAUACUUCUUAUUUCUUGUUUAUGUAGAUUCAAAAUUAACUUGUGCUCCUACCAAGUGUCAAUUGUCUCAAGGAAUACAAGGUAGGCUCCACAGUUAAGUGAUAUAAAUAUUGUGGUCUCAAAUACUGGUUAAUAACGCUAGCCAUAACUUAAGGUAUAGGUGUUUUAUAUCACACACAUGAGCUCAAAAACUGCUAUGUCACAUAUAGUACAUGUUCUGUAUUGGGCAUGUAUCAUCACAUAGAUAAAGGCACUAUAAGUUGUUAUUUAUAGGUGCCACAACUAAACAAGCCCUGUUCUUCUCGCUCUGCCACUCUCAAGUGACACCCUACCUAUCCUUUGCCUUCUACCAAGGUUCCCCCAUUUAGGGUAAAGGUAGACAGCAACAAGCAGUUUGUAACCUCCUCACUUGUAAUAUCUAGCAGAGGAUGGAAUGGCAGUGAAUUGCAGGCAGAGAAGAGGAAAAAUUUUCCACAUACACCAAUCCUAAGCAUUCUUUUUUAGUACUAUUUCUAUGCAUCAUUUUUUUUUAAUUUUUCAAUAAGGCAUAUGAUCUUUGGGUCUUAAAAUUUAUUAAAGGGUUUUGUAUCAGGGACUAGAGCUUUGGGUCAGGUUCAGGACAGCUUCAUGCUUACUUUGAAUCAUAUAAAAUUUGUAUUAAGAAUUCAGGGUCACCUUGGCCUAGUCUCAACAAUUUCCACUCGGAUAUGUAACGCUUUCUGGUCCAAGAAAUGCUUGUUCUUUCUAUGUGGUACAUUCCAAUUAAUACUUGGUUAAAAUGUUUUAAUUUAUGCCAUGCUUGAUAGACUAAAUAUCCUGAAGUCAAUUAUUGCAGUUUCAUAACAACAAGCUUCUGCUUCCAUAAAUUGAUGGGUAUCAAGAAGAAUAGAUGGUAUUGUGAAAAGCACCUAGAUGGUAUUAAGCCAGCUGCAUAACCAACAGCCUGUUGUUUGCAUCCAAAGAAAUAAUUGGAAAAAAAGACUUUUAAGUAAAGUUGGAGUAAAUCUCGCAUCGUCAAAAACAUAUGAUAGUCAAAAAUUUUAAUGCUUCAUAAUAUUGAUGGCAUCUCCAAUGAACCCAUGUCACAUAUAAACUCUGGUUGAAUGACAAACUAAUCAGGAUGAAGUAAAACAUUAUUACAAAACUUUACAUCUCUAAUUGACUAAUAGUGACUGUCAAGACAAACUUUUACCUCAGAAGCUUGAAAGGCAGUGCCAAAUAACAGCGAGAGCUUCUUUUGAAAAGAAUUUCCUUGAACCUGUUUUCCAUUUUCCAUUAAUAUACAUAAGAAUCAUGGGAACUCUGCAUGUCCCAGAGAACAGAAAAAAGACAACCAUACCAUAUGCUCAAAAUUAAUAGGAAAUGGAUUGAGAAGAGUCUGAUUAAUGUGUGGCUUCAUCAUGCAUUUCAUAUCCAUUAUGGGUAUAUGAUGAUAUUAAACAACCUAGCUACAUGCAUAGAUCAGUUGUUAAAUGUUGAAAAGUUGCUUCCAUGUAAAUAUACAGGGAAAAGCUUCAAUUUCCCAGUUGAUUCAUGUUCCAAUAAGAUCUUCAUGGAAGGAAUUUGAAUAAUGUUUGUAACACACUAACAGCUCACUAGUUCAGAGAUAGCAUACUUAAAGUAGUUAAGACAUGGCUUGCUGGUUCCAAUCAUGCCUCUGUCAUGCUUCAUUGCAUUUAAAAAGAAGUUAGACACAUGAUGCUUCCGAACUUAUCUAGGACAGCCAGAGGAGCUGCUAACGAUGACAACAUUGUUAUAUCUAUGAGAUCCUCAUCUAAAAAAUCAUAUCUAUCAUUUGUUCUACGGCCUAGAAUGGUUGCUUUCAGAUUGCAUCAGCUAACACAGACAUUAAAAAUGAGUAUUUCUGGUAUUCAUUCAGUAAAUGAUUCCCAAAUUAAAUGAAGGAAAGAAAAUAUGACAAAGAAGAAAAAUGGAUUACAAUAAUUUGCAAAUGUGAUGACACUGUCCUACUAUUUUUCCUAACAUACUAUUGACCUAGACAUAAGUCUUUGAUAUAAUGAAAUUAAUUCUCGACCACAAAGCAAACUUAAGAUUAAUGAUUUUUUUUUAUAUAUAAAUAAAAAAGGUGUUUGUUUUCCAUAUCCUGUUUUAGCCCGUUCAGGCAAUGCCAGCUUGGUUAAAAUGAACCCGUUUUAUAACAUCUAACAUGGCAUCUAUGGAAAUACCCUAAAGCCACAUAUACUAUACAGUUUAGCUCAUAUGUAAGCUUAAAUCUAAAAUUACAGCCCUAAAAUCUGUGGCAGCAAUUAAAUCUGAAUGUGGGAAAACAGAAUUAAAUUCUAAACCUAAGGACAAAUCUAACUAAGGACUCCAGUACGUUACCAUACCGGUCAUACCAUAUUGUAUUUGUAUGCCUCUUGAUGCCAUACUGGCACAUAGUACUACAUCUCACAUUUGUUGUGCUAGCACCAACAGAUGUGCCGGGUAUCGGUACGGUACUUUACUUAGAUGGAUCUAGGUACUGGAAUCAAGACUUUAACCCUUGCAUCUAACUGAAAGCUACCAAUUAACUCUACCUAAAUUGUUGCCUUAACUGCCUUGUAAAGUUGUUUUGUUGUUCUCAUCUUAUAAAGAAACUAAACACGGGCAUUUUAUUGGACUAGAACUAUUCCACUUAAUAAGAGAAAAAAGGUCAAGGGAGAGAAUGGAAUAAACAAAGAAAGUAGAUUAUAGUGCAAGUCUAAGGAGAACUUAAAAUACACAUUCUUGAGUACUUCAAAUUGAAGGCUAAUGGUUUUCACUAAUGCCCUUAUUCAUGUCUAUUUACAACACUGAGGUCCAACAUUUGACAUCUGUUAUAUUACCAACCUAAAUCUAUUUUUAGAAGCAGAUGUUGUUGCAGAUUGCAAUACUUUUCAAUUUUCGAAUUAAUCGUAGCAAAAUAAAGAUAGUAUCAAUUGCAUAUGCAAUUAAAUAAACCCAAAGUAUGUCGUACCGGUCCGAACCAGAUGGUAUAGGGCAUACCAUACUGGUUCGGUACCGGUAUCUUGUAAAAGUGGCAUACCAUUACUGCACUGUACCGACACUGUGCUAGUGUGGCACCGAUACAGAGUCCGGUGCCAAGACGACAAACCUUGAAUAAAUUUAUUUAUGGGGAUGAUACAUUUUGAAGUAACUAAAUUAUCGACAAUUUGAGGCUUAACGAUAAUUGAUUUCAAGAUCAGGUCAAAGAAAGCACCAUGAGAAUAAAAAGAAUGUGAAAACCUAACUGACAUCAAUACAUAACUUCAUUAUUUUUGAUAACUUCAUCUCAAAUUUAACAUUUGUUGAAUCUUACAGCUGCGCAAAUUGUGCUAACAUUUAAAUUUUUCUUGGAACAAUUAUAGGUGGGCGUCACCACUUGACCCCUUGCACCAACCUAAAUUUACAAGAAGAAUACAAAAAGUGCCAUCUUAUAGAUGUUUUUUUCUCCGACUUCUUUUAUACGUCAUGAUGCAUCUCGAUAAAUUCUUUGGUCAUCAAAAUCCUUAAAAUCAUAAUCAUCCAAUAAAAUAUUUCUUAGAAGAUAAUCCUCAAGAGUCAAGACACAUUACUUGGAAGAUCCCCAGAAGUAGUCCCAGAAGACAAUCCUCAGGAAACAUAAACCCUAAAAGAAAACGCUCAGGUGACAUAAUCUUCAUAACAUCAACCACUGAAUAAUUUUCAAGAGAAACUUCUCAAAAGAACAUUGUUCUUGGAAGGCGAUGUCCAGGAGAUUCUCAGAAGACCAUACUGGAAAGGACAUAAUUCUUAGAUCUCUGCAAUUUAGCAAAAAGCAGCACACCUCUUCAAUCUUCCAUUCUUGCAACAUUUCAAAACCUCUUUUAAUCAGUCCACUUUUCAACAAAAAAAGAGAAAAAAUCAUGAUGGUCAUAAAUGGGAAGGCAUCAUCCAUUAUCAAAUUUUUCCGGAAACAAGAAAGUUUUGCAACUCGUUUUUUACUUCUAACUCCCUAAACUGUUACUGCAGAUUGAUCUGAUUAAAAAAAAGAAAGAAAGGAGCUAGCAAUGCCUAUGAUGAUGGCAGCUAAAAUAGUAAUUCAAUCAUGAUCAUUAAAUGAAAAGGCUCCAUCCAUUAGAUUAAUCAAUUUAUUUUGGACAUAAUAAAGUUUUCAAUCUUUUUACUUCGAACUCCCUAUACUGUUGCUGCAGAUUGAUCUAUUUUCUAAAGGAGAUAGAAAUGCCCAAGAUGAAGGCGAUUAAAAUAGUAUCCCUAACAUGAGCCCAUCAUCUUACAGAAAAUUGUCUGAGGCCAGGUUUUUUACCCCAAAUGGCCAAAUUUCCUCAAGAUGUCAAGUCAUGUCUUUCUAAGCACACUCAUCGUCAUUCCAUGCAUCAGGCACAUGAUGCAUGUGAGAGGAAGUGUAUGUAAUACUAGAGAUAAUUACCAAAGGAUUUCCUUUUCUAGAGAAAAGGAAAAUUGUAUGAAUCAUGGUGAUGCGGAGGUAUUUUAUUCAGCACAUUCCUUUUUCUUUUUACGAGAAUUCCUUUUUAAGAAAAAAACUGAAUAAAAAAUGGAUAGAUGUCAUAUCAUGGGCAGACCUAUUUUUCCUUUUAUUAAGAGUUUCCCUGCAACCUUAGGCUUACCCUAUUAGAGCCCAUUUUUUGGCGGAUUUUUGUUUGCUGCAUGGAUGAAUACUGUUUGAAUGUCACAGAUGACUGGUAUUAACUGAAAGUUUGCUUGAGGUGUAUAUUUUGAUGAAAGAAUGGAUAUAUGCAUGUGACUGUAUCCUUAGUGGGUAGCCAUGUGUGUGUGCCACUAGUUAAGAUCAUCCAUUUACUUAUCUAAGAAAUCUUUAGUCAAAACAAUGCUUUAGUAUUUGCUUAUGUUACCAAAAUAAAUGAUCUAAAAAGUUCUCUAUUUCAACAUUGAAGUUACACAUAAAUGAACAUUGAACCAAGAACAAGAAAUGAUAUCCUAAGAGUGCAGAACAUACAACUGCCUUUGUUCCAUCCCAGGAAAAAUAUGUGGCAAAGAAACAUGGCUCAUUGCCUUCUGUAACUCUGUAGAGUGGCACAUCUGGAGAUAACCCUUCCAAGGCUGCUGCAAGCUCUAUGUAUUUCUGGAAAGUUUCUUUAAUGAAGUUAAACAAAAGCAAACAGAAUACUAACAGCACAAGAAAAAAGGAAGCUUCUUACCUGACCAAUUUCAAAAGCCUUCUGCCUUUCCUUAGGAUCCACAGACUGACCAACCCAAACAAAGACUUCUGCAUGAGUGUCAAGUAUCAAUAUGUCCUCAGUCAACAGAUCAUCUUGAGAGAAGUUGUAUACUUCAGUAACCUGCAAGGAUGAUUGAGGGGAUUCAAUAAAAAUAUUAUGACAUCACAUAUUGAAACCAUAGAUAAGGCAAGUUAUCUAACCUCUAAUUUUCCUGAGGAAUCAUCAUACAUGCACGAGAAAAAAAGAUGGCAUCAGAUUCAGGUAAUUCAGAUAGGGAUAGGACAAGAUAAUGAGAGUCAUAUCAUCAUAAUUAGUCAACAAGUUCUAGGACAAAGCUAACCUUUACUAAAGGAAAAGGUGUACAAGUGAGGAUCUCUAACAGUAUCCUGUAUGACCUUUUUAGUGGUAAAGCUUUGCUUUCCACCAAGUGCAAACCAAAAUGCAGAGCUCUCUGUACCUUCCUUGGCAUGUUUCAGUGUAGCACCAGGCUGUAGCAUUAACAACUCCAUAAGUAGUUAAGAAAUAACUUCCCAUAGAAUUCAAGUAAAAUUGAUUCUUCAAAAUGUGAAAUGCAUCGCAGAAAACAAUAUAGUAACAAGCCUUAUCAUGUAAAUUUAUAAAAAUAGGCCAUUCAUUUUUCUAUGUAGAUUAUCUAGAAAGCAAAUUUCACAAUGCAUACAAUCUUUUGCAAAUAAAGCCAAUAUAAGCUUAGAAUCUUCUUCUUGAUCAUGCAAUAUAUAUGAUCUUAAGUGCAUAUUAUGUUUCCAUUCUUUGUUGAUAUAUGUUCUAAUACAAUAUAAGGCCCUAAUUUUUUUAUCUAUAUAGAUGAUUCAAAUAAUUGUAUACCUCUAUAAAAAUAUUAAAAAAAUCCUCCAAAACUUGUCUCUUCUCUGAAAACAUAUACAUAAUCUAGAAUGUAGAUUUUACAUUUGGUUGAUUGAGAAGAGGAAAUACAUGACAACAGAAAAAAAAAAAAUCUAGAGUAUACCUUUAAAAAUUCUGCAACUUUUGCAGCCCAAUUUUGCUGCUCGAAGGUAGUGGAACUUCCAUGCCAUAUGAAAACAGAAUGUCCAGAUUGCAAUAGGAAACAGUCAGUGGAGCUUAGGGACGCUGCUACCUGAACCAUAGAUGUUAAAUGGCAUUGAUGCUGACAUCCACGUCAGAAAAUACAACGGUAACAUUCUUGGCUACAACAUUUAAAACAGAAAAUGGCAACUUUAUUUGAGUAAACUGAGUUAUCUUCAUGCAAGAACAUGAUAAUGCAUGAUUUGAUGAUUUGAUCAAUCUGGUUUUUCUUUUUUGUUAUAAAAAAAAACUCUACUUUUCUUCUCACGACUUAAAGUUCCGCAGGCAUGGUUAAUCUAAAAUUUAGCUUGCUAUACAAUUCAAAAUCAUCGAGUACCAGAAACAAAAGUUAAUCCUUCAAUACUAAUUUUGAACUCAGAGAUCUGUACAUCUUCAAUAAUGUGAUCGGCUACUUAUCCAAAACUGGAGGAAAAUCAACAACCAAGACAAAUGCCAAAAAUAACAGCUCCAGGCUUAUGCUAAAGCAAAAUGUUUUUCAGUUUAUAAUCUGCAUUGUUUUGUUCAAUUAAGCACAGAAGGUUGUGGAAAAGCAUCAGUGAACAAGUAAACAGGAAUAUAAUAGAAAACUUAUGCACAUACCGCAUCAACUUGUACAGCUUGAUUAUUGUGCACUGAUGUACCAGACACUCGAAUAAGUGCAAUACCAUCAGAAGUGUAAGUAUCAUCAUUUCCAUUCUUCUCAGAAAUUAACUUUUUGUAUCCAGAACUGAUUCCGCCCUAUAAUAAAAGAAGCCAAGAUUAGGAAAGAUCAAGGUUUAAAG
rnacentral:lncRNA from 1 species